GUUUUUUUUUUGUGUUUUUGUUUUUCGCGGUUUUUCUUUGUCCUUUCUCCAUUUUCACUGUUUUAUUCGGUUUUCUAUUGUUCUUUUUUUUCUUUUAUAUAAUUUUUUCUUCCUUUUUUUNNNNNNNNNNNNNNNNNNNNNNNNNNNNNNNNNNNNNNNNNNNNNNNNNNNNNNNNNNNNNNNNNNNNNNNNNNNNNNNNNNNNNNNNNNNNNNNNNNNNNNNNNNNNNNNNNNNNNNNNNNNNNNNNNNNNNNNNNNNNNNNNNNNNNNNNNNNNNNNNNNNNNNNNNNNNNNNNNNNNNNNNNNNNNNNNNNNNNNNNNNNNNNNNNNNNNNNNNNNNNNNNNNNNNNNNNNNNNNNNNNNNNNNNNNNNNNNNNNNNNNNNNNNNNNNNNNNNNNNNNNNNNNNNNNNNNNNNNNNNNNNNNNNNNNNNNNNNNNNNNNNNNNNNNNNNNNNNNNNNNNNNNNAUUUCCAAAUGCUUGAUGAAUAUUAUUUAAACACUUGUUCAACUUUUUGCUAAAUGCUUGUUUAAAAUUUUAUAUAUACAUGAUCAAAACAGAUUCAUGGUUUAUUUAAUACAUGGUCAACAUUUUUUAUAUACACAUUUAACAUUUUCUGAUGGCUUGAUUAACAAUUUUUAAAUACUUUUUCAAUACUUUUUAAAUCACUUGACAUUUUUAUAUACAGCAUCAAUUUUUUCAUAUUUUUUAAUACAUGGUCAACAUUUUUUCUGUACACAUUCAACAUUUCUAGAAUGCUUGAUUAACAUUUUCCAAAUACUUUUUCAAUAUUUUUUUGAAAAUUAUUGAUUAACAUUUUAUUAUACAUGAUAAUGUUUUAGAAAAACUAAUCCAUGAUUAAAAAAAUCUGUACACAUUCAAGAUUUUUUCGAAUGCUUGAUAACAUUUUUCAAAUACAUGUUCAACAUUUUUCACAAUGUAUGUAUGUAUGUAUGUAUGUAUGUAUUUAGAAUAUUUUUAAAGUAUAAACAAAAGUAUAAAAAUAAAGCAAAAAACAUCAACCGAAAAUGUAAAAAAAAAAACAUUGUGGCUGCCGCGCGCGUGGGUCGGCUCCUCUUACUCACCCCUUCAGCGAGUCAGAAGUUGGAUUCGUUGAAGGCGAGAUAUUGGGGCACCCGUUUUUAAGGGCCAACCCCUCCUACCCCCUCACUUUCCCCUCCAAUUCACGGGGUCUCUGAGCAUCGACGGUACCCUCGCGGCUUUGCCCCACCAUGAGACGGAACCCGCCGCUGCCACCACGCCUCCACGACACCUGCUUCCUCUUCUUCCCUGGCCAAGCUAGCCUUAUUGCCGAAGGUAUCUCACCGAUGCCACCUCCCUUACCCACCCCUUUCCUCUCCCUUGCCUAGUGUUUCUCCUCUCCCCCAACAUGGCUGCAACCUCCGUCCACCUCUUCAUCCCGGGCGAGCUCGCCGACAAUACUGCCUUAGAAGGCAUGCCAUCACCAGUUCAUCUCGUCAUAAGCUUAGGUUGCUCCCGUCUGCUUGUGUUGCCCAUAGAUGUUACGUGAUGUAUGUUUGUUGGUGGUGCUAUGAAGUUAUUUCUUUCUGUUUCAUGGCAUUCUGCAAGGCAAAUAGAAUGGUGGCCUCGGCAUUCCAAACUUGCGUCUUCUAAAGCGGCUCUCAGAUCACGAUGUCUUUGACUAACCAGAACGGAACAAGAUUGCCCGUGGAGUGAGUUCAACCUACAGGUCUCACCGGAAUCCAUGAGUAUUUGCAAGUGGGUGGUCAAGUGCACGCUAGGAAAUGGUGAGGUGACACGGUUCUGGACAUACUGGUGGUUGUAGGACGGGCGAAUCAAAGACCUCAUGCCGAAAUUAUUCGCCGCCGUCAAGAAACGAGCGCAGAAGAGAACGGUCAAGCAAGCGAUAACCGACGAAUGGCGGCAAGAUGUAUCGCCUAACAUGUGUUCUAAGCAUUGCGCGAGUUCUUACAGCUCGUGGAUAGGACCGAUCACAUUCAGCUGCUGGACGGCAUUGAAGACAAACUCGCUUGGUAUUGGGAGACAAACGGCUCCUUCUCGGUAAGAUCGGUGUACCGGACUUUCUUUGUUGUAGAGUGGAGGCCAAGGGUGCCAUGCAAAUAUGAAGAUCAAGGGCGCCGGCGACUUGCAAGUUUUUCACAUGGCUGAUGGCCAGGGAAAGGUGUUGGACGGCGGACAGACUCGAGCGCCGACAACUACCGCACCCUACAGCUUGCCCCUUCUACGAUCAAGCACCAAAAACAAUAAAACGCAUUUUGCUAGGUUGUGUUCUGGCUAGGAAAGUAUGGCGCCCAAUCAUCGACAACUAGAAUAAACAAAACUGGCUACCAAGCGCGGAUGCAAAUCCAGUGGAAUGGUGGACGUCCAUAAACCCACAAAAACAACUCAGGAAGGAGACAUGGACCAUCAUUACACUUGUGGCAUGGAUGUUGUGGAAACACAUAAAUGACAUUGUGUUCAACGGAGUGUCCCCAUCCGCUAGUGAAGUGCUCAAGAAAUUUGACUUGGAGGGACAAGACUGGAGGACGGCCACGUUGCUGCGCGAGACAGGAUCGCUUCCGAUUAGAGUAGAUGUGUGAGCUAGUAGUGAGUAGUUAGCAUGUCGAGGCGUUGCCUAUGUUAGCCAUGCAUAACAAGUAACCAACUUUCUGCCUUUCUUGGCACCUUUCCAUCUAUGAUCUCGAUGCGUCAACCUUUGACGUAUCCUUGAAAAUAAAACCAUGAGCUCAUCGUGAACAACUUCAAGACCAUCGAUGGUUGGGGAGCAAACCAAAGACCACGCCAAGAUGUUGCCGAUGGCAAUGCACCUCCGUCGCCUCCCUGCUGCAUAGGUUUCUUGAGGCAUGCCUCCGUCACCGCCCAGCUUGUCCUCAAUUUGUGUUCUAAACACGCGCGGCGGCUAACAUUACACACGAAAUCGAGGGAUGGAAGGCUGAUUCAGGAGACGUACGAAGAUGGGAGAACAUAGCACGAAAAUCACCAUCUUCGAGAGGAUGGGAGGGGCUGAGAUUGGAUCCGAGAGGACAGGGUCGAGAAAAAAGGGGGUGGGUGGCGGGAAGAAGAGCUUGCGCACGUCCUUUGCAGAGUUUUCGCCUGCGCCUCAAAUUGCUAAACGUACUUUUGGCGAGGAAUAUAGUUCUUAUGUUGACGGUUAGAUCUAAACGAGUGGGCCUAACCGUGAGACUCUAAUUGCUUCAUGUAAUUGUGUGUUCAUUAGGCGGGUACGUUUAGGAAAGAUAAUGUUUCCUCUUUUAAUUGUAGUAUAGAUACAUCUACUCAACAUAAAGAAUUAUUGCGAAAAAUUUGCGGUAUCGUGCACNNNNNNNNNNNNNNNNNNNNNNNNNNNNNNNNNNNNNNNNNNNNNNNNNNNNNNNNNNNNNNNNNNNNNNNNNNNNNNNNNNNNNNNNNNNNNNNNNNNNNNNNNNNNNNNNNNNNNNNNNNNNNNNNNNNNNNNNNNNNNNNNNNNNNNNNNNNNNNNNNNNNNNNNNNNNNNNNNNNNNNNNNNNNNNNNNNNNNNNNNNNNNNNNNNNNNNNNNNNNNNNNNNNNNNNNNNNNNNNNNNNNNNNNNNNNNNNNNNNNNNNNNNNNNNNNNNNNNNNNNNNNNNNNNNNNNNNNNNNNNNNNNNNNNNNNNNNNNNNNNNNNNNNAUGGGAUUAUGUUGUCACACUUUUUGCCAUGCCCUAGGGCCAGCCCUGAGGGCAACUCGUCGAAGCCGCUGAUGUUUGCUUCGGGGGGCUUCUUGGAGGAAGGUUGGUUAUGAGUUCAUUGCCAAAAUCAAUUUAAAUAUGGUCAAUGUGAUCAUCCACCACAACUACAAUCUAGGGCCAAGUAUGUAAAGCUCACGCCGACAACCUAACGAAAGAAUUUUAUGGAAAGAUCAUUGAAAACGCAACAAUUUUUCAAUACAUGAAUAAAGUCCACCAAACAUAGAUCGCAUGGGUGGAUACACAUGUCAUCAAGAAGGGUGUGAAGGUGCAGGUGCCCUUAGCGACCGUGAAGGCACAACACAGGAGGAAGUCGAGGGGCUCCUGUCCGGCCGCCAGUAAGUUUUAGUUGAACAAACGAAUUAUUGUCCGGUUUAUGUAAAUUAUAUCGAUUUUAUGUCAGUUGCAUGACCACAUUUUACUACAGCGCAGGGUUAGUUCCAAGUUUAAUGCCAGGAUAGUAGAAAACUUGUAGUCUCUGAUGUUCCAAAGCGCAGGGUAUAUUUUGCGAUGAUACUUUGGAAUUAACCUUGUUUGUUCCUGUGAAGCAGCAGACCAUAUACUCCCUCUGUUUUAUAUAAUGUAAUACAUGUAGAUAUUUACAAAACUCAAUUUUGGAAUUUAUCAAGUUUAGAGAGGAAAUUAUCUAUAUCUACAAUACCUUACAUAUACAAUAUGAAAAUGACACAACAACGUACCUAAUGGAGGUAUGUAUUUGCCGUUCUCCAUUUUUCUCCAUAAACUUGGUCUAAAUUUGCAAAUUCUGACUUUUGAAAGAAAUCUAUAUACUCCCUCCGUUUUUUAUUUACUCCGUAUAUUAGUGCUGACUGAAGUCAAACUUACUAAAAUUUGACCAAGUUUAUACAAAAGAAUAUAAAUAUUUACCAUAACAAAUCUAUAUGAAGUGGAAGUACAUUCAAUAAUAAAUCUACUAGUAUUGAUUUGUUAUUGUAUAUGUUAAUAUUUUUUACUAUAAACUUUGUCAAAAUUUAUAAAGCUUAACUUUGACCAAACCUAAUACGCGGAGUAAAUAAAAACGGAGGGAGUACACUAUACGAUAGAAUGUAGGGAGUACCAACUAGCCCCAUGCAACCUUCAAAUGUAACCACAGGCCGACCCGUGUUUUGCAACACAAGUCUUGGACAUAUUCCAGCCCAAAAGAAGCUGCACCUGAAGCUCAUUCGUCGACAGCACACCGUUUCCCCGCAAAUCACAGAUCAACAAUGAUGCAAAAGUUAAUCUGACAAAUAUUUACCUACUCUUCAGACCCAAAAAAACAGAAGAAACCUUUGAUGAACCAUGAGAUGGCAUAGCCAUCAGUGCUAAAAACACAUGAUAGCUGUACACUGCGAGGCCGGCCAUCUGGAUCUCAUAGUCUAGAGUUAGAGUUAGGGUCUAAAACAAGCUAAUCCUUUCUUGCAAGGCACAUAUCCGAUGCUGCGACGAGCGAAAAUUGGAAGGAGACACGUCAUGCUCAUGCAAAGGUGAAAUGACAAAAAGGAUAGAGCAAACACGUUUCAGGUUCUCUUCAGUAGUUCAGUUCUUCAGCCACUGUACCCUGCCUGACCAAGAGUAUUGUUUUUAUUACUGAGAAAAAAAAUAUAGUGUUGGGUAAAGAUUGCAGCACAGAUGGGGAGUAGAUCGUCGCAACAGAAGUGGCCAUUCUAGCCCCGCACACAAGCCUUCAGCAUCAACCACGAAGCGGAAGGUAAUCAGCGUCGCGGAAUCUGAUACCGAAACAAUCCAGCAGCCGACCCGCCCGAGGCCGCAUCAACAUGCACGUCCGCCUGUUUUGAUGGGGGAAAAAAUGGACAUGAAAUUUCACAACAAAAGAAAAGGUAAAGCACGAGGAAAGCAAAAACCUACGGACACCAUAGGAUGGAGGUAGUUCAAACUUAAACAGCGCAUAGCUCGAAAUCAAUCGCUUAACUGCAAGGUAUAUGCCACAACAAUUUUCAUUUUUUUUAGAGGAUGACCCCUGGCCUCUGCAUCUGGGAAAUGCAUGCAGUGCAGCCACUUUAUUAAUUAUUCACAAAGACCUUACAAAGUAAUACAUCAAUAUGUCUGAAGCCGUCAUCUUAGCAACAUCUGUCGCUACUCAUAUCCAUUGACGAAGGGGUGCAGAAGUGUGAGCCGAAUACCCAGACUUCUCACAUAGCCUAACAUCUAAAGCCGAAGGGCCCGACUAAGCCACAUACCGGGUCUGGGGCACAAACCGGUCCGACGCACUCAUAGGUCGUCGCUGCCGUUUUCCAUCAAACCAUCUUUAGAGCCGCUUCUGCUCCGGUGCUCCCCGCUGGGCUGAACGCGAGGGGGAGAAACACAAGGACGGCCAGGAUUAACCAAAAACGGUUCGAAACGAGGGGCACGAUCGUCUUUUUUGCCCGUGUGUAUCGCCGUCAAGGAGCAGAUCUCGGAAAAAUCACAAAUACCGAGAGCAGAUAUCGGAAAUGACAGUCCUCCUCGUCUGUGCAAGGCCUAGGCAUGCCACAAGGACAUCACAAAGGAUUUCCCGUGCCGCUACAGGGCAUGAUUUCAUGUGCCGCCUUGCUGAUCAGUAAUUUUCGGCAAUGAAAUCCUAGCAAAGCAAUAAAUUUAUCGAAUAUUGCAUGCAUGCCCGAAAAUGCGGGGGUGUGGCAUGUGUCAUGCGAUUGCCUCCUUUGAGAGCGCGAGAAGUUUCGAGGCCAACGGAGCAACAGGACCCGUAGUUCCUGCACAAACCGGACACGUUCCCUCUCGGUACCCAGAGACUAGCUCAUAGACGGUGAGGUUUACAAGCGGCCUCUGGGGAGGCUUAUUCAAACGCGCCCAAACUUUUACCACACCCUACAGGGGCCAUGUAAUGACACCGUGCCAGCUCCCGAGGAAUUUCGGCAUCGUACGAUUUUCCGAGGAUUUAAACGGUUGCAUCAGGCAAUGCCACUGAGGUACUUUCGCCUAUUUAAACAGGUCAUGUUGCUGCAACGGGACUAUCUGACUAUUUGGACUAUCUGACUAUUUAAACAGGUCAUGUUGCUUGUCUCUGAGCGAGGUGGGACUAAAGUUUGCUGAGAGCCUGAUCUUUACCGAGAGGUCCUCUCGGUAACUAUUGCUCUGCCGGGAGCUGCGCUCGGUAAAGGUGUGGUUGUAUCAUAAAUUUAUAAAAAAAGCAAGCAUCCAUUGUUUAGAAUACGGAGUAUCAGGGUUGAGAUCCUCUGCAGUACCAUAUGGUGCUGUAGUGUCGAUGACAUGUGGGGCCAGGUCCCACAUGGCAGUGACUGUACAACACGGUACAGUACUGCAGAGGAUCCUAACCCGGAGUAUCAAUAUGAACUUUCUCUGUCCGGAACAUGAAGAUUUAUAGUGACUACAUAUUCUUAAUAUUGAAGACCGAAGGUUAAUGAGAUUGGACUAUUGAACUAUUUAAACAGGUCUUUCUGCUUGUCGGUAGGCGAGGUGGGACUAAAUCUUUGCCGAGAGCCUCUCUCGGCAAAGAGUUGCAACCGUGACCGUGCCGUUAUUCGCCGCCAGAUGUGCCAUGUGGCAGGCCACUUGGCUCUCGGCAAAUAGUGUCUUUGCCGAGUGUUGCCUUUUUGCCGAGGUUUACUCUCGGCAAUAUCCUGUGUUUGCCGAGAUUUGCCUGUUGCCGAGAGUCCCUCUCGGCGUCUGUGACUUUGACGAGUGCCCAUGUUUUGGCUCUCGGCGAAGACCCUAACACCCGGUGUAUACGAAAUUUCCAGUAGUGAUGUGACACGCCCAGCUGGAGGAUCUUAUACUUUUCGCAGUAUUUUGCAUGGGCGUGAGCUUCUGUUGGAUGGUCUUGUUUGGAGAAUUGGAGAUGGCACUAAGGUUAGGAUUCAUCAUGACAAUUGGAUUCCAAGGAGAGGCAGCGUUAGGCCACUGGGCCAAGAUUAUAUGCAUGGUAUUACACGGGUGAGUGACCUCCUUUCAGCGGAUGGGGAUGCUUGGGACAGAAACAAACUCGAAGCCAUGUUCUCCCAGGAUGACGUACAAGAUAUUAUGCAGAUUAUAAUUGGGGGUAAUGGAACAGAUGACUAACAAGCAUGGAACUAUACAAAAAAUGGGCAAUUCAAUAUGUGGUCAGCAUAUCAUCUUUGCAUGGACAAAAAACGAGCGAAGUGGGGACGGCCGGAGUCUUCGUCAACGGUGGCGAACCACCAAGGGUGGCUGGCGCUGCGGGGCUCGAAUGCACCGGGUAAGGCAAAAAUGCAUACUUCGCGCUUGAUGAAGAAUGGUCUGGCGGUGGGUGUUGAAUUGAUGCGAAGAAGUAUCAAGGCCGGAGUCUUCUGUCCAGCUUGUGAACCAGAAGAAACGGUGUAUCACCGAUUCUGGGCCUGUUCGCAUGCAGCAAAAUUUUGGAAAGUGUUGAGCUCGGAGUUGGGGGCGGCGGUGGCGAUCCCACCCAUUUCGGUUAGCUCCCAGAGCUCGCUCAGAAACUGGCUGCUACAAUGGUUUGCUGAAGCGUCAGAAGGAGAGAGGUCAGUACUGAUUCAAGGGCUAUAUGCUGUGGCUAGCCAGGAACGAAACACGUGAAGGUAAGAAAAUGGAGGAGCCACAUGUACUGGCGAAAUCGGUGUGUUGUUACUUGGAGGAGUGGAACAAGGCGCAUGGGAAUAAGCAACCGAAGCAAAAGAUUAAGCAGAAGGAAAGAUGGACUCCACCGGAGCAAGAUUAGAUGAAAGCCAAUUUCGAUGGAGCACGGACAAAAAAUGGGCGACGGCGGGGGUGGUGGUCUGAUCUUCAGGGAUGUUACAGGCGCAUUCAGAGGAGCUGCAUGCUCGUUUUUUCCAUCGAUCGCAUGCGCUGAGGCGACGGAGCUGCUGGCAUGCAGGAGGGCGGUUCAGCUGGCAAUGGAAUUAAACUACCAGAAGAUCCAUGUCGAGAUGGACUGCCUGAAUGUUGUUAAUAUGCUCAAUGAUCAAUCAAAGAAUCUCUCUUCUGCUGGACAGGUUGUGGAGGAGCUGAAUGUAAGCAAAAUUUCUUUGAGUGCGGAACAUUUGCAAUACAAAUGAUUCAACAAAACAUGCAUGAGAUUAUUUUUUUUGUUCAUGAUCCGAGUGUACCUUGCUCCAUCAUGAAGCCUUACGAAGUCGAUCCGUCGUUGUCGUACGUUCUUCUUAUCUCUACCUCUUCCCUUCAGGUGUUCCUCCGAUGGAUGAAAAACUAGCCUUUUACUUAGGUGUAUGCAUGCACUGUAAUGUGCCUUCUCUAAUGCAGCAGCGUCUACUCUCCAGCGCGGCGUAAAUGACCUUAGAGAAUCACACAUAUCCGGCAGUGUGAGUGGCCCUUUUAUAGGUUCUGUAAAAAUGCGUCUCUUCCAAACAGCAGCGUCGGUUCUCACCCAGCGGACACGAUGUUUGCAUCACCCAGCGGACACGAUGUUUGCUAAACACAUGCGGACGCGACGUUACUGUAAGAUGUUGUAAUUGCACGAUGUAUCGCUCUUCGUGCAUAGGCACGUAUAUAUGAUGUACAAAGGUGGGACACGGACCUCAACUAUACAUGAAACUAGGAGACAGGCCUAACACACAAUAUGCACAUAACACAUAUACUCAACACCCCCCGCAGUCGAAGCAGCACCGCGGCUGGCGCAAAGACUGGACCGGAACUCCUCAAAUGACACCGUAGGCAAGCCCUUGGUCAUGAUAUCGGCAAAUUGUUGGAAAGUAGGGACGUGUAAAACACGAAUAUGCCCAAGGGCCACCUGUUCCCGAACAAAAUGAAUAUCUAACUCAAUAUGCUUGGUCCGUCGAUGAUGCACCGGGUUAGCGGAGAGGUAGACCACCGAGACGUUGUCGCAGUAGACCACCGUGGCACGGUCAACAGGGCAAGAGAGCUCCUGAAGCAGCUGGCGGAGCCACGAACACUUGGCGACGGCGUUGGCCACUGCACGAUACUCAGCCUCAGCACUAGAACGGGAGACCGUAAGCUGUCGCUUGGACGACCACGAGAUAAGUGAGGGUCCAAGGUAGACACAAUAGCCCGAAGUGGAGCGACGAGUGUCAGGACAGCCCGCCCAAUCUGCAUCGGAGUAGGCGGUGAGGGCAGUGAGGGCGGUGUCGGCGGAGGCGUGAAGCGUGAUGCCAAGAUCCAUAGUGCCACAGAUAUAGCGGAGAACCCGCUUGACGGCAGCCCAGUGAACGUCUCGAGGAGCAUGCAUAUGAAGACGCACCUGCUGCACGGCAUACUGGAUCUCCGGUCGAGUCAGAGUGAGGUACUGGAGAGCACCAACGAUAGACCGAUAGAAAGCAGCAUCCGAAGCAGGAGAACCAUCCGUGGCAGAAAGCUUGGCCUUCGUAUCAACAGGCGUAGCGGCGGGCUUGCAGUUAAGUAUGCCGGCGUGCUCCAGGAGCUCAUGAGCAUACUUCCGCUGAUGAAGGAAGAAGCCAUCCGGACGGCGCACCACCUCGACACCGAGGAAGUAGUGCAAAGGACCCAAGUCCUUGAUGGCGAACUCAGCGCGAGGACGAGCCGUGAGCUGACUGAGGAGACUAGCCGUACAUGUCGUCAGGAUAAUGUCAUCGACAUAGAGCAGCAAGUAGGCCGUGUCAGAGCCCUGAUGAUAGACGGAGAGCGAGGCGUCCGAGCGGGUAGAGCGGAACCCAAGCUGGUGAAGAAACGCCGCGAUGCGCUGGUACCAAGCGCGCGGAGCCUGCUUGAGUCCGUACAAGGACCGCGGAAGCAGGCACACGUGGUCGGGAAGCGCCGGGUCAACAAACCCAGUGGGCUGCUGGCAGAAGACUUGCUCCUCGAGGUGACCAUGGAGGAAGGCGUUGGAGACGUCCAUCUGGUGCACCGGCCAAGCACGGGAGACCGCAAGGUGGAGAACCGUGUGUAUCGUGCCGGGCUUGACGACUGGAGCGAAGGUGUCGGUGAAGUCGAUGCCAGCACGCUGUCGGAAGCCACGAACGACCCAGCGCGCUUUGUAGCGAUCAAGGGUACCAUCAGGAUGGAGCUUGUGUUUAAACACCCACUUCCCGGUAAUCACGUUGGCGUGCCGGGGACGGGGAACAAGCUGCCACGUCCGGUUGCGCAACAGGGCAUCAAACUCCUCUUGCAUUGCAGCCAUCCAGAGCGGGUCACGAAGAGUGGCUCGAACGGAGGACGGCAACGGCGACGGCUCAGAGGUGGGCGCCGCAUGGACGUAGUCAUCCGAGGCGUAGCGCGAGCUCGGGCGAAAAACGCCCGUACGGGCGCGGGUGACCGGACCGGCCAAUGGCGCCAGGGGGCCGCGGGCGCCGGGGGGGCCGCGGGCACCCGGGGGGCCGAGGGAGCCGCGGGGGCCGCGGGCGCCAACGUCGGGGGCGCCUGGGGCGCCAGCGCCGCUGCUGGAGGAGGCGCCGCAUACGGGGGGCGGGCCAAGGGCGGCGCGCGAACCUCCCGGAAGGGGCGUCGAGGUUCCCGCAUCACCAGCGACGGGAGGAACGGACGGGGGUACCUGCUGAAAUGGAAACACAUGCUCAUCAAAGUAAACGUGUCGGGAGGUGAACACACGGUGGGAGACGGGAUCAUAGCACCGAUAUGCCUUGGAGUUAGAGGGGUAGCCGAUGAAGAUGCAAGCGAUAGAUCGAGGUGCAAGCUUGUGAGAAACAGUGUCGGCAAUGCUGGGAUAGCAAAGGCACCCAAGAAUACGCAAGUUGUCAUAAGACGGGGGCAUACCAAAGAGAAGAUGGCGAGGUGCGUAGUUCCACCGUGGGCGGCAGGGUCUAAUGUUAAGAAGAAGUGAUGCAGUGGCGAGUGCGUCCGGCCAGAAACGAGGCGGCACGUUGGCAUGAAACAGGAGCGUGCGAACGCAGUCAUUCAGAGUGCGAAGGACGCGUUCGGCUCGACCGUUCUGCUGUGAAGUGUACGGCAUAUGAGAUGGAAAACUGUGCCGUGAUGCGACAAAAAGGUGCGGAAAGCGAGAUUGUCGAACUCUUUUCCAUUGUCCGUCUGAAGCGCAAGGAUGGGACGCCCAAACUGCAUGCGGACAUAGGAGUAAAAAGCCGUCAAGGUAGAGAGUGCAUCCGACUUUCUGCGCAAAGGAAAAAUCCACACGUAAUGAGAAUAAUCAUCAAGAAUGACCAGAUAAUAUAAAUAGCCCGAGUUACUGGGAACCGGAGUCCACACAUCGCUAUGAAUCAACUGAAAAGGAAAAGAAGCAAUGAUGGUGGAAUUAUUAAACGGCAGGCGAACAUGUUUGCCGACUCGACAGGCAUGACAAGUGUGAUCCUCGAUCUUAUUGCAACUGAAACUGAAACUCCUAAGAAUAUGACGAAGUGUGACAGGGUUGGGAUGACCCAAGCGAGCGUGCCAGAGAUCGACUCCAGCGGAGAGAGCAACCGGUGCGGUGGUGGUGGAUGAAGGCGAGUGCACCGGAUAGAGCUCGUCGGGGCUGUCACAUCGGUGAAGUACCAUCCUGGUUCGAGCGUCUUUGACACAAAAACCGAGCUCGUCAAAUUCAACGGUAACAGAAUUUUCACGAGUGAAACAACGAACAGAAAUGAGAUUCUUAAUAAGAUGAGGUGGCACAAGUAUAUUAGACAAAGAUAAUGGGGUAGAACUAGAAGGAAAAGAAGUGUGCCCAAUGUGUGUGAUAGGAAGUGUGGAACCGUCGCCGACAAUGAUGCGGCGGUCGGUGGAGACAGGAGUGAAGGAGGCAAGGUUACUAGGAUGAGCAAACAUGUGAGCCGUAGCACCGGUGUCCAUGUACCAAUCACCACCUCUAGUGUAGUUGUUCGGCGUAGGAGCGGCAUGCAGUGCGGGGAGGAGCACCGGGUCCCAGGGCGCCGGCGGCAGGGCCGGCGAGGGGGGCGGAGACGCCAUGGGUAGGUCGUAGCCGCCGUUCGGCUGCGGCGAUGGGUACUCUCCAUACGGUAUGGGUAGCAGCCCCGGCUGCGACUGCAGUGCCGGAUAGGCCGUAUGGCCCGCCGGAAAAACCUGCUGGCCCGCUGACAGAUGCUGCAGGUGCGGGGCGCCGUCGGGAUGCUGCCCAACGGGCGAGUGCUGGCCUGCUGACGACCCCACCAGUACCUGGGAGACCCGUACACGGGCGGAGCCCCGUACGUAGGAUUCCCGUACGUGGGAACGGGCGCGUCGAACACCCCGCGCAACAGCAAGGGAUCGAAGGGCAGAGUCGACGCCGGCGGCGGGGCGACGACGGACUGGCCGGAGAAGCACCGACGGUGGGCGGCGACAUACGCCAGCGGGAGCAAUGGAGCCGAGCCGGGUGGUAAGUCGGGACGGACUGAAGGGGCGACGCCGGACGCGUCAUAGGUGGCGGCCGCCCCGUACGGCGGCGGGGCCGCACCGUAGGACGCCGGCGGCGGAGCCACGCCGGGGGCACCGGCGGCGUGACGGCAAAGGCGGCGGCGAACGGGCCAGUGGACGCCAUCGGGGCUGGCGAGUGACCAGAGUGGCGCGCGGGUCGGGCAGGCGGCAGCAGCGACAUGGCGCUCGGCGGCUCAAAUCAACCAGAGACGCUCACGCCUACGUGCAAAGCUAGCUUCGAAGCUAGCAAGCACGCAGCUUGAUGGAUCUUCAGGAACAGUGCACGGUACACACAGCUAGGAACGUGCGUACACGAACUUGGUUUGGCUAGCGAUGCAGCGCGAUCGGGCCACGGAGCGAGCGGGUUGGCGGCUAGCGAGCGGCGGUUUGCGGCGGCUGGCGUGGAGCAGCGGGCGUGGGCGCGCGCGGCUGCAGCGGAUCGGUCAACGCUGCAGCUGGCUAGCGAGCGGGCGACGCGCGGGCGAUCUGGCGAUGCAGCGCGAUCGGGCCAGGAAGGGAGGAGCGGCGGCGGGCGCGGGCGACGCGCGGUCAGCGGCGGCUGGGCGGCGGCGGCGGCGCGUGACGAAGCGCGCGGCGGCAGCGGAAGCCGAGAAUUAAAACCUAAAACUGAUAGUACCAUGUAAGAUGUUGUAAUUGCAUAAUGUAUUGCUCUUCGUGCAUAGACCCGUAUAUAUGAUCUAUAAAGAUGGAUCAUGGACCUCAAUUAUACAUGAAACUGGGAGGCAGGCGCGUCCCUAAUACGAAGCAUCGCGUCCAGCCGCGCUUGCACACAGCCACCGCUUGGCUACAUGCGUAGUUACAAAACAAACCGAUCCAUGUGCUUGCAUCUAAUUGGUCCAUUCUAGCUCAUAUCGAUUAAUCCAUGCAUGCACCAGUACAUAGCCAUCACGAGGCACUAAUACAUGUCCAUGCACUAGGCAUGUGACUUUGCCACACGUACACAUAUGCACUCUAGUUUCUGAAGAUUAACAGAGGGAGAUACGAGGGAAUUAAAACCCAGACUUUAAUCUAUUAUUUCUAGUAACCAUCAUACUAGAAUUCUUCAUUAAAAUCAAACUAUUAUUUACAUUGGCCACAUAAAUAUUCUUACACCGAAGGCGAUGCUCCGGACGUGGCAAGAUUACAAAGUAACAUGGGUGCGGCGGUCAGCUAAUGGCGCAGCACAUGGGUUGGCAACAUUAGGUGUUAGUACUCGCUAGGACCUCUGGAGUCUGGACUCAAGUACCUCCAGAUUGAAUUAUGGGUAUUGUAUCGGAUGAUAUUCCUGCUCUUGUUUAAAUAAAGUUUAAGUGUGAGUUUAAAAAAAGACAUAGAUAAUAUAGGUACAAGAUAGAAAACAAGACAGAUUAUAUGUUAAGUGCUGUGGGCUCCCAACAAAGUUUAAACAUGGUCUUUUUCAAAAUGGAACAUGCCUUAAACAUCGGUGUUGUAUAGAUCGUGUGAUGUGCACCCUCAACACUUUGAGUAAAAGGGCAAAGCCGAUAAUCCUGGAUAUGGUACGAUAUAGAAUCGAGUCGAUUUAGAAAUUGUGCAAGGGUGAUGAUGGGAAUUGAUUCAGGGACCUAGGUAGCUAGUGGCGAAAGGCAAAAAAUAUACUAACGGACGUUGCCUGCCCUUCCCCAUAUUGGCUCUUUCAUUGUAGUGAACAGUCGUCUAGAAAGAAACAACAUAUUAAGAAAAAGAAAAAAAGACAGAUGCUCUUCUCUUCCGGGGAAACAACAGAGUAGAGGCCUUGUCGUCUCUUGCAAUGCAUGCUCAUCCCCAUAAAACGGCCUCUCGCCCAGAGGGAAAGCUUGCCAUUUUCGGUGAGUCUCACUCACUUUGCAUGCCGUCCUAGCUUAGCUAGUUUUCCUUUGGAUUGGACAUUGUGGUGGUCGGAGGAGGAGGAGGAAGAGGAUGGGGCGGGGGAAGACGCAAGUGAAGCUGAUAGAGGACCGGACGAGCCAGCAGGUGCCCUUCUCCAAGCUCCGCAGUGGCUUGCACAGGAAGGCUUUCCAGCUCUCCGUGCUCUGCGACGCCGAGGUCGCCUAUUGAAAUAUGAGAUGGGCCUGGAGCCCAUAUGACAAUUUCAGAUUUAAUCUCUAAGGCCCCAUGUAGGUGGCAUCACAAGGUGGUGGGAAGUUUAGUCCCAUACCGCUAGUGGAAGGAGAGUUGGAGUGGUUUAUAAGGGAUUCUCUCCCUCAAGCUAUUGGAGCUUGAGAAGAAAAGAAGCCCUCGCGCACUCCUCCUCCGCUCGCCUUGUCUCCUAUGCGCUUUUUUUGCCGGUCAGGAACGGAGAGUCUUUAACAGGUAGGGCCACGAUCUGAGACGUCGGAUCAUGGGCUACCGACUUGGACGUGGGUUCAGCCCACGUCUCUCAACGCGCGACCGCACAUAUAUAUGUGGGGCGCUGCCAACCCUAGCCGCCGCCAAAACAGAACGCAUCUCCAUCUCCACCUCCACGCCCAGGUCGUUCCUCUGCUGCUGCUGCCGCCGGCGACUGCAUCCCGUUAACCGCGUACACGGUUGACGGGAGAGCAGGCCUCCGAAACCCCGCCUUUCCGGAUCCUGUACGGGAGAGGGGCGAUUAGGUUUUUGGGUAGCGACUACGCGACUGCUCGCUUCUGUUCAUCUACGUCCGCAUCACCUUCGUCAUCACCAUGUCGACCGACGCCGACCGUGCCGCCGCUGAGAAGGCGAGGCCGACAAGAAGGCCGCCGAGGAUGUCGCGGCUGCUGCCACCGCCACUGCCGCCGUGUGGCCGAUUGGAGGGUAUACAUCGCUUAUCCCUCUCAUGUUUCUUUCUGUUGUAGCAGUACUAGCGAUAUGCGUAGAUGUUUCUACUAUGUGCGUAGUACAUGCUCUGUUAGAUCGUAAUCAGUGUGUUAUCAAUGAUGUCCAUGUCAUGCUCAUGAUUUAUUCAUGGAUUAAUUUAAUCGAAAAACUGCCUAUUUACUUAUCCAUCCAAAAACCUAAAUUGUGUAGGAGUUUUUCGAAUUCUGGUUUUGCUCCUGCACUGAAACCGUCCCCGUUUACGGGGACGUACUUUAAGCGUUGGCAGACUAAAACCACCUUAUGGCUCACGGCCAUGAACGUGUUCUGGGUCGCCGGUGUGACUCCCACAGGAACGAUCGCUCCUGAACAGGAGAAGGCGUUCAAGGAGGCCACUGUCGUGUUCCUCGGGGCAGUUCUGAGCGUGAUUGGAGAUAAGCUGGUUGACGCAUAUUUGCAUGUGCGGUCUGCCAAGGACUUGUGGGAGGCGCUCGAAUCUAAGUUCGGGGCGGCCGAUGCAGGGAGCGAGAUCUAUAUUAUAGAGCAGUUCCACGAUUACAAGAUGGUUGAAAACCGUCCUGUAUUGGAGCGGGCUCAUGAGAUAAUAUGCAUUGUUAAGGAGCUAGAGCUUCUUAAGUGCGAGUUACCGGGCAAGUUUGUCGCGGGCUGCAUAAUUGCUAAGCUCCCCAAUUUCUAGAGGAACUUUGCCACCACUCUGAAACAUCAGAGGCGUGAAUUCUCUGUGGAGGAUGUCAUUGGCCAUCUGAGUGUUGAGCAGAAUUCAAGGGCAAAGGACUCGCACGGAAAAGGGUCGAAGGAACUUCUGUGGCCAAUAUGGUGCAUCAGAAGAACUCCAAUUCCCACAAGCCCAAGGGAAAGAACGGUGUCCAACAGAAUACCGACUUUAAGAAGGGUAAGAAGACCUUCAAGAAGAACAAGAAGGAUGAGGGCUGCUUUACUUGUGGUUAGGUUGAACAUUGGGCCAACAAGUGCCCAAACAAGUACAAGAACCAGGGCAGGACUCCAAGUCUGUCAAUAUGAUUGUGAGCAACAAUGAGAGUGGUGCAUCUGGGUACGGUAAUUUAUUUGCUGUAUUUUCAGUUUGGCUGUCCACCGAUUGGUGGGUCGACACAGGUGCAGGUGUUCAUGUGUGUGCUGACAUUUCAUUGUUUUCUUCUUACCAGGCCACAGGUCACGGGUCCGUACUUAUAGGGAAUGGCGCGAGUGCUUAUGUUCUUGGUGUUGGCAUGGUCGAUCUGAAGUUUACUUCGGGAAGGAUUGUGCAGCUAAAGAACGUGCAGCAUGUCCCCGCCAUCAAGAAGAACCUCGUUAGUGGCUCCCUUCUAUGUAGAGAAGGGUUUAAGUUGGUAUUAGAGUCUAAUAAAUUAGUUGUUACGAAAUAUGGACUAUUUGUUGGAAAGGGUUAUGAAUGCGGAGGCAUGUUCCGCCUUUCUCUUGCAGAUCUAUGUAAUAAAGUCGUGAACAAUAUUCAUUUGAGUGUUCAUGAAUCUGAAGUCUGGCAUUCACGUCUUUGUCACAUUAGUUUCGGCGUUAUGACGCGGCUAGCAAAAUCGAAUUUAAUCCCGAGUUUCACUUUAGCCAAAGGUUCUAAGUGCCAUUCGUGUGUGCAAUCUAAGCAACCUCGCAAGCCUCACAAGGCAGCAGAGGAGAGACACUUGGCGCCACUGGAACUCAUACAUUCUGAUCUUUGUGAGAUGAAUGGUGUGUUGACUAAAGGUGGAAAGAAAUAUUUCAUGACUUUGAUAGAUGAUUCCACUAGAUAUUACUAUGUGUAUCUGUUAAAUACUAAAGAUGAGGCUCUACACUACUUUAAAAUCUAUAAGGAAGAAGUUGAGAAUCAACUUGAAAAGAAAAUUAAACGAGUCCGGUCAGAUCGUGGUGGAGAGUACUUCUCGAAAGAGUUUGAUGCCUUUUGUGCGGAACACGGUAUUAUUCAUGAGAGGACGCCUCCCUACUCACCCCAGUCAAACAGGGUUGCCGAGCGGAAAAACCGUACUCUGACUGAUUUGGUUAACGCCAUGUUAGAUACGUCGGGUUUAUCCAAGGCAUGGUGGGGGGAGGCUAUAAUGACAUCAUGUCAUGUCCUGAAUAAAGUGCCGACAAAGGAUAAUGAGAUCACUCCUUAUGAGAAGUGGACCAGAGAAGGACAACACUCUCGUACUUACGUACUUGGGGCUGCUUGGCGAAAGUUAAUGUGUCGAUCCCCAAAAAGCGUAAGCUUGGACCAAAGACUGUGGACUGUGUUAAUUUGGGCUACACUAUGAAUAGUGUUGGCUAUAGAUUUCUAGUAGUGAAAUCUGAGGUACCUGACAUGAAGGUCGGUACAAUUAUGGAGUCUAAGGAUGCUACAUUCUUUGAGGACAUUUUCCCCAUGAGAGAUGUACAAAGCACUUCUAGACAGGAAUCUGAGGAGACUCCUGAACCUGCCAUUCCGAUGAAAUAUUAUAAACAAACACAUGAUGAAAAUCCCGAGGAGGAUAAUAAGGAAACCCUUGGUAGGGGCAAGAGACAAAGGACUGUAAAGACCUUUGGUGAUGAUUUCUUCAUAUACCUCGUGGAGGAUAAUCCCACUUCUAUUUCAGAAGCGUAUGCAUCUCCAGAAGCUGACUACUGGAAGGAUGCGGUCCGUAGCGAGAUGGAUUCCAUCAUGGCUAACGGGACUUGGGAGCUUACUGAACGUCCUUAUGGUUGCAAAUCAUUGGGAUGCAAGUGGGUGUUCAAGAAGAAGUUUAGGCCCGACGGUACGAUAGAAAAGUACAAGGCUAGGCUUGUGGCCAAGGGCUACGCCCAAAAAGAAGAAGAAGAUUUCUUCGACACUUAUUCACAUGUGGCCAGACUGACCACCAUUCGAGUAUUACUCUCGUUGGCGGCCUCGCAUGGUCUUCUCAUUCAUUAGAUGGAUGUUAAGACGGCUUUCCUGAACGGAGAGCUAAAGGAGGAAAUCUAUAUGCAACAGCCUGAUGGCUUUGUGAUAGAUGGUCAGGAAGGAAAGGUGUGUAAGUUGGUGAAAUCUUUGUAUGGCCUGAGACAAGCGCCUAAGCAAUGGCAUGACAAGUUUAAUGAAACAUUGACAUCUGUUGGCUUUAUUGUUAAUGAGGCCGACAAAUGUGUAUAGUAUCGCUAUGUGGGGGCGAAGGAGUUAUAUUGUGUUUGUAUGUUGAUGACAUACUGAUCUUUGGAACUAAUCUCAAGUUGAUCGAGGAGGUUAAGUCUUUCCUGUCUCAGAACUUUGAGAUGAAGGACCUUGGAGUGGCUGAUGUUAUCUUGAACAUCAAGCUAUUGAGAGAUGAUGAGGGUGGGAUUACACUUCUGCAAUCCCAUUAUGUUGAGAAGGUGUUGAGUCGCUUUGGAUAUUCGGACUGCAAAUCAUCUCAAACACCAUAUGAUUCUAGUGUGCUGAUUCGAAAGUCUAAAGGCACAGCUAUAGAUCAAUUGAGAUACUCUCAGAUUGUUGGUUCAUUCCAGUAUCUAGCGAGCGCAACGAGGCCUGACAUCGCAUUUGAUAUUAGCAAACUGAGCCGAUUUGUUUGCAAACCGGGCGAUGUACAUUGGCAUGCUCUUUUGAGAGUUAUGCGCUAUCUGAAAGGUACUAUGAACUAUGGAGUUCACUAUACCGGAUACCCGUCAGUACUUGAAGGGUAUAGUGAUGCAAAUUGGAUCUCUGAUGCUGAUGAGAUGAAGGCCACAACUGGGUAUAUGUUUACUCUUGGAGGUGGUGCUGUUUCCUGGAAGUCUUGCAAGCAAACAAUCUUAACAAGAUCGACAAUGGAAGCAGAAUUAACAGCAUUAGACACAUCGGGUGGCGAAGCGGAAUGGCUUCGAGAUCUGUUGAUGGACUUGCCAGUGGUUGAGAAGCCGGUUCCGGCCAUUCUUAUGAACUGCGACAAUCAAACAGUUAUUGUCAAGGUGAAGAGUUCAAAGGACAACAUAAAGUCCAACAAACACAUAAGAAUGAGAUUGAAAGCUGUCAGAAAAUUGAGGAACUCCGGAGUGAUAGCAUUGGAUUAUAUUCAUACGGCUAAGAAUCUGGCAGAUCCCUUUACUAAGGGGCUAUCACGUGUUGUGAUAGAUAGCGCAUCAAGGGAGAUGGGUAUGAGACCCACAUGAGUUGCCAUGGUAGUAACCCAACCUAUGUGAUCGGAGAUUCCGUGAAGUAGGACAUGGGAAAACAAGCCAGUGGUGAACUGAGGAGAGUAACUUUACUAACCCACUCCGUUGGAGAUGCAAUACUCUCAGAAACUGUAUGGAAGGAUGACUACUGUCUUAAUGUGUUCCAAGGCUUAUAUGUAUAAGCAAGAUGCUAUCCUACAGAGCGAUCUUUGGAGGAACACACCUAUAUGAGCCCGACUGCUGGUCACAGUCUAUGAGAUUGGGGUGAUCUCUAGCAAGCUCAUGAACAGGCCAGGAGUGUGAGUAAUAUGCUCCACCCGAGGGGUCGGCCUUCGGCAGCCUCGUAUCAGUGAGACUUGUGGUGAAACUUCUUGAUGCCAAACUGACAAUUCAAGGCAUAGUCCAUUAUUUAGUUGUGAAGGACUGUAACUUCUUGGUCUAGGUGGAGCUCAACCUUAAUCGGUCUCCACUGAGAUGCUGGUAUAUCAAAACAGCGUUUGGAACAAAGGACAAGUGGGCCCCUGAGAUCUGGUGGGGGAUUGUUGAAAUAUGAGAUGGGCCCAGAGCCCAUAUGACAAUUUCAUAUUUAAUCUCUAAGGGCCCAUGUAGGUGGCUUGACAAGGUGGUGGGAAGUUUAGUCCCAUACCGCUAGUGGAAGGAGAGUUGGAGUGGUUUAUAAGGGAUUCUCUCCCUCAGGCUAUUGGAGCUUGAGAAGAAAAGAAGCCCUCGCGCACUCCUCCUCCUCCACUCGCCUCGUCACGCCACGCCACGCCUCGUCACGACGCGCCGCGGGUUGCGGGAUUGAGCCGAGCCGAGCUCACUCCUAUGCGCUUCUUUUUGCCGGUCAGGAACGGAGAGUCUUUGACAGGUAGGGCCACGAUCUGAGACGUCAGAUCAUGGGCAACCGACUUGGACGUGGGUUCAGCCCACGUCUCUCCACGCGCGGCUGCACAUAUAUAUGUGGGGCACUGCCAAUCCUAGCCGCCGCGAAAACAGAACGCAUCUCCAUCUCCGCCUCCACGCCCACGUCGUUCCUCUGCUGCUGCUGCCGCCGGCGACUCCAUCCCGUUCACCGCGUACGCGGUUGACGGGAGAGCAGGCCUCCGAAACCCCGCCUCUCUAGAUCCUGUACGGGAGAGGGGCAAUUAGGUUUUUGGGUAGCGACUACGCGACUGCUCGCUUCUGUUCAUCUACGUCCGCAUCACCUUCGUCAUCUCCAUGUCGACCGACGCCGACCGUGCCGCCGCUGAGAAGGCCGAGGCCGACAAGAAGGCCGCCGAGGAUGCCGCGGCUGCUGCCACCGCCACCGCCGCUGCGUGGCCGAUUGGAGGGUAUACAUCGCUUAUCUCUCUCGUGUUUCUUUCUGUUGUAGCAGUACUAGCGAUAUGCGUAGAUGUUUCUACUAUGUGCGUAGUACAUGCUCUGUUAGAUCGUAAUCAGUGUGUUAUCAAUGCUGUCCAUGUCAUGCUCAUGAUUUAUUCAUGGAUUAAUUUAAUUGAAAAACUGCCUAUUUACUUAUCAAUCCAAAAACCUAAAUUGUGUAGGAGUUUUUCGAAUUCUGGUUUUGCUGCUGCACUGAAACCGUCCCCGUUUACGGGGACGUACUUUAAGCGUUGGCAGACUAAAACCACCUUAUGUCUCACGGCCAUGAACGUGUUCUGGGUCGCCGGUGUGACUCCCACAGGAACGAUCGCUCCUGAACAGGAGAAGGCGUUCAAGGAGGCCACUGUCGUGUUCCUCGGGGCAGUUCUGAGCGUGAUUGGAGAUAAACUGGUUGACGCAUAUUUGCAUGUGCGGUCUGCCAAGGACUUGUGGGAGGCGCUCGAAUCUAAGUUCGGGGCGGCCGAUGCAGGGAGCGAGAUCUAUAUUAUAGAGCAGUUCCACGAUUACAAGAUGGUUGAAAACCGUCCUGUAUUGGAGCAGGCUCAUGAGAUAAUAUGCAUUGUUAAGGAGCUUGAGCUUCUUAAGUGCGAGUUACCGGGCAAGUUUGUCGCGGGCUGCAUAAUCUCUAAGCUCCCCAAUUCCUGGAGGAACUUUGCGACCACUCUGAAACAUCAGAGGCGUGAAUUCUCUGUGGAGGAUGUCAUUGGCCAUCUGAGUGUUGAGCAGAAUUCAAGGGCAAAGGACUCGCACGGAAAAGGGUCGAAGGAACUUCUGUGGCCAAUAUGGUGCAUCAGAAGAACUCCAAUUCCCACAAGCCCAAGGGAAAGAACGGUGUCCAACAGAAUACCGACUUUAAGAAGGGUAAGAAGACCUUCAAGAAGAACAAGAAGGAUGAGGGCUACUUUACUUGUGGUUAGGUUGAACAUUGGGCCAACAAGUGCCCAAACAAGUACAAGAACCAGGGCAGGACUCCAAGUCUGUCAAUAUGAUUGUGAGCAACAAUGAGAGUGGUGCAUUUGGGUACGGUGAUUUAUUUGCUGUAUUUUCAGUUUGGCUGUCCACCGAUUGGUGGGUCGACACAGGUGCAGGUGUUCAUGUGUGUGCUGACAUUUCAUUGUUUUCUUCUUACCAGGCCACAGGUCACGGGUCCGUACUGAUGGGGAAUGGCGCGAGUGCUUCUGUUCUUGGUGUUGGCAUGGUCGAUCUGAAGUUUACUUCGGGAAGGAUUGUGCAGCUAAAGAACGUGCAGCAUGUCCCCGCCAUCAAGAAGAACCUCGUUAGUGGCUCCCUUCUAUGUAGAGAAGGGUUUAAGUUGGUAUUAGAGUCUAAUAAAUUAGUUGUUACGAAAUAUGGACUAUUUGUUGGAAAGGGUUAUGAAUGCGGAGGCAUGUUCCGCCUUUCUCUUGCAGAUCUAUGUAAUAAAGUCGUGAACAAUAUUCAUUUGAGUGUUAAUGAAUCUGAAGUCUGGCAUUCACGUCUUUGUCACAUUAGUUUCGGCGUUAUGAUGCGGCUAGCAAAAUCGAAUUUAAUCCCGAGUUUCACUUUAGCCAAAGGUUCUAAGUGCCAUUCGUGUGUGCAAUCUAAGCAACCUUGCAAGCCUCACAAGGCAGCAGAGGAGAGACACUUGGCGCCGCUGGAACUCAUACAUUCUGAUCUUUGUGAGAUGAAUGGUGUGUUGACUAAAGGUGGAAAGAAAUAUUUCAUGACUUUGAUAGAUGAUUCCACUAGAUAUUUCUAUGUGUAUCUGUUAAAUACUAAAGAUGAGGCUCUACACUACUUUAAAAUCUAUAAGGCAGACGUUGAGAAUCAACUUGAAAAGAAAAUUAAACGAGUCCGGUCAGAUCGUGGUGGAGAGUACUUCUCGAAAGAGUUUGAUGCCUUUUGUGCGGAACACGGUAUUAUUCACGAGAGGACGCCUCCCUACUCACCCCAGUCAAACGGGGUUGCCGAGCGGAAAAACCGUACUCUGACUGAUUUGGUUAACGCCAUGUUAGAUACGUCGGGUUUAUCCAAGGCAUGGUGGGGGGAGGCUAUAAUGACAUCAUGUCAUGUCCUGAAUAAAGUUCCGACAAAGGAUAAGGAGAUCACUCCUUAUGAGAAGUGGACCAAGAGAAGGACAACACUCUCGUACUUACGUACUUGGGGCUGCUUGGCGAAAGUUAAUGUGCCGAUCCCCAAAAAGCGUAAGCUUGGACCAAAGACUAUGGACUGUGUUAAUUUGGGCUACACUAUGAAUAGUGUUGGCUAUAGAUUUCUAGUAGUGAAAUCUGAGGUACCUGACAUGAAGGUCGGUACAAUUAUGGAGUCUAAGGAUGCUACAUUCUUUGAGGACAUUUUCCCCAUGAGAGAUGUACAAAGCACUUCUAGACAGGAAUCUGAGGAGACUCCUGAACCUGCCAUUCCGAUGGAAUAUUAUAAACAAACACAUGAUGAAAAUCCCGAGGAGGAUAAUAAGGAAACCCUUGGUGGGGGCAAGAGACAAAGGACUGUAAAGACCUCUGGUGGUGAUUUCUUCAUAUACCUCGUGGAGGAUAAUCCCACUUCUAUUUCAGAAGCGUAUGCAUCUCCAGAAGCAGACUACUGGAAGGAUGCGGUCCGUAGCGAGAUGGAUUCCAUCAUGGCUAACGGGACUUGGGAGCUUACCGAACGUCCUUAUGGUUGCAAACCUUUGGGAUGCAAGUGGGUGUUCAAGAAGAAGCUUAGGCCCGACGGUACGAUAGAAAAGUACAAGGCUAGGCGUGUGGCCAAGGGCUACGCCCAGAAAGAAGAAGAAGAUUUCUUCGACACUUAUUCACCUGUGGCCAGACUGACCACCAUUCGAGUAUUACUAUCGUUGGCGGCCUCGCAUGGUCUUCUCAUUCAUCAGAUGGAUGUUAAGACGGAUUUCCUGAACGGAGAGCUAAAAGAGGAAAUCUAUAUGCAACAGCCUGAUGGCUUUGUGAUAGAUGGUCAGGAAGGAAAGGUGUGUAAGUUGGUGAAAUCUUUGUAUGGCCUGAGACAAGCGCCUAAGCAAUGGCAUGACACGUUUAAUGAAACGUUGGCAUCUGUUGGCUUUGUUGUUAAUGAGGCCGACAAAUGUGUAUACUAUCGCUAUGGUGGGGGCGAAGGAGUUAUACUGUGUUUGUAUGUUGAUGACAUACUGAUAUGUGGAACUAAUCUCAAGUUGAUCGAGGAGGUUAAGUCUUUCCUAUCUUAGAACUUUGAGAUGAAGGACCUUGGAGUGGCUGAUGUUAUCUUGAACAUCAAGCUAUUAAGAGAUGAUGAGGGUGGGAUUACACUUCUGCAAUCCCAUUAUGUUGAGAACGUGUUGAGUCGCAUUGGAUAUUCGGACUGCAAACCAUCUCAAACACCAUAUGAUUCUAGUGUGCUGAUUCGGAAGUCUAAAGGCACAGCUAUAGAUCAAUUGAGAUAUUCUCAGAUUGUUGGUUCAUUCCAGUAUCUAGCGAGCGCAACGAGGCCUGACAUCGCAUUUGCUAUUAGCAAACUGAGCCGAUUUGUUUCCAAACCGGGCGAUGUACAUUGGCGUGCUCUUGAGAGAGUUAUGCGCUAUCUGAAAGGUACUAUGAACUAUGGACUUCACUAGACCGUAUACCCGUCCGUACUUGAAGGGUAUAGUGAUGCGAAUUGGAUCUCUGAUGCUGAUGAGAUGAAGGCCACAACUGGGUAUAUGUUUACUCUUGGAGGUGGUGCUGUUUCCUGGAGGUCUUGCAAGCUAACGAUCUUAACAAGAUCGACAAUGGAAGCAGAAUUAACAGCAUUAGACACAUCGGGUGGCGAAGCGGAAUGGCUUCGAGAUCUGUUGAUGGACUUGCCAGUGGUUGAGAAGUCGGUUCCGGCCAUCCUUAUGAACUGCGACAAUCAAACAGUUAUUGUCAAGGUGAAGAGUUCAAAGGACAACAUGAAGUCCAACAAACACAUAAGAAUGAGAUUGAAAGCUGUCAGAAAAUUGAGGAACUCCGGAGUGAUAGCGUUGGAUUAUAUUCAUACGGCUAAGAAUCUGGCAGAUCCCUUUACUAAAGGGCUAUCACGUGUUGUGAUAGAUAGCGCAUCAAGGGAGAUGGGUAUGAGACCCACAUGAGUUGCCAUGGUAGUAACCCAACCUAUGUGAUCGGAGAUCCUGUGAAGUAGGACCUGGGAAAACAAGCCGGUGGUGAACUGAGGAGAGUAACUUUACUAACCCACUCCGUUGGAGAUGCAAUACUCUCGGAAACAGUAUGGAAGGAUGACUACUGUCUUAAUGUGUUCCAAGGCUUAUAUGUAUAAGCAAGAUGCUAUCCUACAGAGCGAUCUUUGGAGGAACACACGUAUAUGAGCCCGACUGCUGGUCACAGUCUAUGAGAUUGGGGUGAUCUCUAGCAAGCUCAUGAAUAGGCCAGGAGUGUGACUAAUAUGCUCCACCCGAGGGGUCGGCCUUCGGCAGCCUCGUAUUAGUGAGACUUGUGGUGAAACUUCUUGAUGCCAAACUGACAAUUCAAGGCAUUGUCCAUUAUUCAGUUGUGAAGGACUAUAACUUCUUGGUCCAGGUGGAGCUCAACCUUAAUCGGUCUCCACUGAGAUGCUGGUAUAUCAAAACAGCGUUUGGAACAAAGGACAAGUGGGCCCCUGAGAUCUGGUGGGGGAUUGUUGAAAUAUGAGAUGGGCCUAGAGCCCAUAUGACAAUUUCAGAUUUAAUCUCUAAGGGCCCAUGUAGGUGGCAUAACAAGGUGGUGGGAAGUUUAGUCCCAUACUGCUAGUGGAAGGAGAGUUGGAGUGGUUUAUAGGGGAUUCUCUCCCUCAUGCUAUUGGAGCUUGAGAAGAAAAGAAGCCCUCGCGCACUCCUCCUCCACUCGCCUCGCCGCGCCGCGGGUUGCGGGAUUGAGCCGAGCCGAGCUCACUCCUAUGCGCUUCUUUUUGCCGGUCAGGAACGGAGAGUCUUUGACAGGUAGGGCCACGAUCUGAGACGUCGGAUCAUGGGCUACCGACUUGGACGUGGGUUCAGCCCACGUCUCUCCACGCGCGGCCGCACAUAUAUAUGUGGGGCGCUGCCAACCCUAGUCGCAGCGAAAACAGAACGCAUCUCCAUCUCCGCCUCCACGCCCAUGUCGUUCCUCUGCUGCUGCUGCCGCCGGCGACUCCAUCCCGUUCACCGCGUACACGGUUGACGGGAGAGCAGGCCUCCGAAACCCCGCCUCUCCGGAUCCUGUACGGGAGAGGGGCGAUUAGGUUUUUUGGUAACGACUACGCGACUGCUCGCUUCUGUUCAUCUACGUCCGCAUCACCUUCGUCAUCACCAUGUCGACCGACGCCGACCGUGCCGCCGCUGAGAAGGCCGAGGCCGACAAGAAGGCCGCCGAGGAUGCCGCGGCUGCUGCCGCCGCGUGGCCGAUUGGAGGGUAUACAUCGCUUAUCCCUCUCGUGUUUCUUUCUGUUGUAGCAGUACUAGCGAUAUGCGUAGAUGUUUCUACUAUGUGCGUAGUACAUGCUCUGUUAAAUCGUAAUCAGUAUGUUAUCAAUGCUGUCCAUGUCAUGCUCAUAAUUUAUUCAUGGAUUAAUUUAAUCGAAAAACUACCUAUUUAUUUAUCAUCGCCCUCGUCGUCUUCUCCCCAGGCGGCAGGCUCUACGAAUUUGCCAACGCUGGGUAAUUGUAUUAUUUUUUACCACCCCCUCCUUCCUACUCUAUGUUCGCUUGCUGGCGAAAGAAAUAUGUGCCCCAUCCAUGUGGGCAUGGAUAUUCGCGCCAACUAUUUUAGCAGCAAAACUCGCUAUUUGCCCAAAGCCCUCUGCAACGAAAAAGAAAAAAAGGAACUCUAUACUUCUGGUGAAAUUUAAUAAUAGAUCUAAUCCUUUUCGGAAAAAAAGGAAGCCCUCUGCACUCCACCGUUACACUACGUCCGUCUCGUUCUAUAUAUCUGGGACCGGGUGUACUCCAUCCAUUUUUAUAUUACAACGCACAAACUCAGGCCACCACUCACAAGGUUUAUGGCCUCUUUGAUUUGCAGGAUUUUAAAAAUCUGAGAAUAGGGAAAAUACAAGAUUAGAAUGUCAUGCUCAUCUCAAUCCUACAGAAUUUUGGUUUGUUAGAUUGCAUCAUAGGAAAAACAAAAAAUUCUUUCAAAGAGGUUUGAGUGGAUACUAGAAAUCCUAUAGAAAGUAGUACAAAGAAAUCCUUAGGAAAAAUUCCUAUUGAAUUCAAUCUUAUGAAUCAAACAACCAGGAUAGAAAAAAAUUCUAAGGAUUCUUAUCCUCCAAAAUUCCUAUGAAUCAAAGGAAAGCUUACUGAUGAUUGGGUGAGAGUUGCCGAGCUUUAAAAUUGACGUAUACUUCUCUCCAAAAAGGAGCAGAUAAAUCUUUCCCGUACGUCCGGCUAUUGCCGCAAUUUGAGCUAAACCUUAAACAAAAGGGCCUCGAGAUGGAAGGACGGUCAGUACAUCUAGGCUACUCAUUUCCCUAUGUCCUAGAUUCUUUAACCAAUAGGAUACCCUGGGAUGGAAGGAAAGCAAAAAAUAUAGUAAUAUCUAUAUCUAUAUCUAUACCUACUAAGAAAGUAAGGUGCGUUUCGUCAAUUUUUUCAUCCAUUCACCGCCGAAAAUCUUUUUUUUAUAUCCGAGGUGGUACCAAAUUUUUGUGGUCCAGCUGCUAGAAAAGAAAACAAAACAGUUUGUGCAGAAUUUCGUAAGUGGGCCGCACGCGCUAAGGCCCAGAAAAGCCCCACAUUUAUAUCCUGCGCAUGCUGCUGGGGAACCUUAUUUGUCGCACAGAGCCACAUAUAGUUGGAGCUUCCCAUCUGUCGCCCAAUGUUGGGCCGGACCAUUUCUGUUUUUCUGUGCUUUUUUUCUAUUCUUCAAUUUUCCCUUCAAGAUAUAUUUUCCUUUUUCAUAAAUUUAUUUUUUUAAUUUUCAAAAAAUUCGUUUCUUGUAAUAAUUUUCGUUAAAUCUUAGAAUUUCAUAAUUUGUUCCAAUUUUCAAAAUUAUUUGGAACUUUAAAUUUAUUUUUUCGUUCAAUUUUUGCUCGAAAUUCAAAAAAUGUUCGCAUUUAAAAAAAUCCAAAUUUUUUAGAGACUUAGAAAAUAAAUUUCACUUUAAAAAUAAUAGUAGUUCGAAAAAUAUUUAUUUUGAAAUGUUUACAAAUUCAAAAUAAUGUUCGUGAUAUAAAACACAUAUUUCAAAAUGGUUUUGAAAGUUCAAAACAAGUUUCCAUUUUAAAAAAAAUGUUUCACCAAUUCGAAAAAUGUCUGUUUCCCCGCCUUAAAAAUGGUCUUGUUUUUAAAAAAUGUUUGUGAAUUUAAAAAAUUCUUUCUAUUUUAAGUUUUUUUUGCCUUUUCCAGAAAUUAACGCUUUUUCCAAAAAAUGCUGAUGUUUUAAAAAAAAUCAUGAGGUCACCACAAUCUCGAUAAGGAGGUGGACCUGAAGGGAAAAAAGGCAUGAGUUGGGUAGUGGCCGUCAUUCGGACCAACCCCACUACUAUAAACAUCUCGCGGACCAAACAUGACCCACGAGAACACCACAACUCUCCACUCUGUCGCGCCACUGUUGUGGAGAACGUUUUGAUGGACACAUCAAUUAUCUCUCCCGAUGCUUCUCGCAAAAAAACUCUCCCGUUGCAAUGCACGGGCAUAUGUGCUAGUAUAGAAUAAUAACCAAAUGCUACUAGGCAGCCUAGAAUUACAUGGGACGCACUAAUGCUUGUCACAAUAGCUUAUCUUGAGAUCGUUUGCCGCGUAUGAGUACUACGUGUUUGGUUAUGGCUGUUAACCCUGAGUUAAUUAACUGUUUAUAGAGUAAUUAACUGCUGUUGUUGUUGUUUUCAUAUAUUUUACAUCUUAAAUUUAAAUUCAGCAUGCAGAAUACAAUUGGACGAUAUAAUGAGACAAGCACAAAGGAUAGAACCAGCAGCCAGACAGUACAUCAAGAUAUAGAGGUGCAUAGUCUGUGUUUCAUAUAUACACAUAGUACUCCCUCUUUACUAAAAUUAAUAUAGUGCAUAUUACUUUUAUCUUGCUCAACUUUGUAAGGUUUUACCAAGUUUGUAGAAAAUGUCAUCAGCAUCUACAAUACCAUUAGAUUUAUCAUGAAAUAUUUUUCAUAUCAUAUGUAUUGGUAUGCAGAAGUUCAUAUUGUUCUCUCUAUAAACUCAGCCAAACAGUAUAAACUUUGAUUUCAGAAAAAUCUAAUAUGCACUGUAUUUUGGCAUGGAUUGUGGUAGUACCUUGUGGUUUAUUUUAAAUGUGACAACAAUUUCAAAAACUCCAUGUGAUCUCAACUGCAGAAAAUAAAAGCAGAUGCAGAGGCCUUGUCAAAGAAGCUCCAUGCUCUUGAAGCAUACAAAAGGUAACAACUACGAGAGACGAGACUACUGUUUAUGUACUACCGGACAAAUGAUAAGUUGGCACCAUCUUAUACUGUUGAGAUGCAGGAAAGUUUUGGAUUCUAAUUUAGAAGAAUGCUCUAUUGAAGAACUGCAAAGCUUAGAGGACAAAACUGAAAAAAGCCUUCUUAGCAUCCGAACAAUGAAGGUUAGCCAAUUCUAACUCAGUUUACAUGAAGUUUUAGCAAUAACGAAUCUAUGUGUGCAUUUAAUGAUACACAAGCCGGGCAAUGGAAGUUUACACAACAGUUAAUGUGACUUCAAUUCUUAAUUAUCUUAGAGGAAGUAUAAUAAGGUGACAUAAGCAGGUUAUAAGAGUUGCCAAAGGAGAAUAGAAGCGGGCCAUAAAGUUACAUCAAGCUAAAACACUGGCUUCAAAAAAGCUUUGUGAGAGAGUGAGGUGUGCCAAGUAUUAAUGUCUUUUUUUCAAAGAGGAGGUUUAACCUACGGUCUUUGCAUCAUUAAUUACUUAGUAUUUACUCCCUCCAUUUUUGUAUACAAGGCCAUAGACUCAUAUUACGGGUACCAAGGCAAAAGUUAAUGUCUUCUAAGUCAAUGUUGCAAGCCAGCUUAUCUCCUUGUUUGCCGUGUAAAUUAAUGUGUAUUCUUCUCUUUUAUGCACAUCAAGCCAAUACUCCCACUCCCCCAUGUAUACAAGGGAUAGUUAAUGUCCUCCUUUGCUAGUAUUAUGAGGCAAACACCAUUAUAUUGCAUCGAUUAGUGUUAGUGGCCUUGUAUAUCUGCAAAUUGUUAUUUUGAUAGUGGCCUUGUAUACAAAAAUGGAGGGAGUAUAUUUAUAUCUAAGUGCAAAGAUAAUAGAAACUUAGCAUGCUACCAGUGCAAGCUUAAUGCUACUCAAUUAUCUUACAUGUCAGACUCGGCGGUUGGAAGAGCGGCUCGCUAAGCUGAGGCAGAAUGUGGUGAAGUUGAGCCACCACAAAGAAGAACUAUAUUGCCAGGUAAAGAUGGACAAUGAAAUUGCCUUCAUGAAUGAAACAACCCAACUCUGAACACGUAUCCCAUCCCUCAUGUGCAUCCCAGUCGAGAUCACCACCCAUUCAUGCAUCUAGCAAGUAGCUCAACUAAGCGUAACAUAUAUAAUGAUCUGUCCACUGAUGGGCUUGCCCUCGUUAAUAUGUGCAGUACCAGAAGGAGCACCACCUUGCGAUGGCGGCGGCAGCCUCUGCUAUGGCAACCUUCCCAGCCGACGAAGACCACCAUGACGUCAUGGAUGUGGAGACGGAGCUAUUUCUUGGAUUGCCUGGCUCAAGUCGUUCAUGAAAGAGAGUACAUGCUGGAGAAAAUGCUCAGAAUAAGCUGGAAACUUCUCUGUUUCCAGCCUCAGCAAUAGCAGGCAACAAAUGAAUGAGACACUAAUAAAGCCAACCGCGUUAUGAUACCUUAGCUGUUUUCGCUUCUUACUUAUGAUUAUUUUCAACGUUAAGUGUUGGUCGAGUAGUAUCACGGUUUGAACUUUUGAUUCUAUUCCAUGGAAGGAGCAGCUGGCACAGUUGUGCCUCUGUUUUUUUUUGUUUUUGCGAGAAGUUAGUUUCUUUACCUUUUCUACUCUCUUUGCCUUUGUUACUUUGUUUAUUAAAUCUUCAUCUUUUCGUGCCUUCAACUGGCAAAGUUGUGCCUAUGCUCCAUGAAAAUGACUGUGGGGGGUAUCUUCCCCGCUCCAAGGGACGUGCACUGCUACCUUCAAAAGCUUAUGCGCGAUUGAGAUCGUUCCUGAAUCUGUCUGGUCUCCUCAUUCUCUCUUCCUAACGUGGUGGAACCGUUGGUGGUGAAGGGAGAUGCGGAGUGGCUACGGUUUUAUAGGGGAGAAGGCCUUGCAAUUUCUCCUUGUUGGUUUCUAUUCUAUUAUUUGAUUCUCUGAGUUCCUCGGGAGUGGAAUUCAAGUAUUAAAUACCCUAUGGGUGUCUUUUUAUUAAUAAAAUAAAAAAGUAGCUCGUCCAUACUCUUGAUCGUACACCUUUAUUGACCAAAAACAUUUGUAAGGCAUGAACCGACCGUACCCUUGACCUAUAAUAAUGACAAAGAUCCAAAAGCCAAACAAAUGACACGUAUCAUUCAAGAUAUGUUUGUAGCUACAUCCGUAUCGUACUUGGAUAAUUCUAGAAUGUGAAAGUUAGUUUGAAAUCAUUGUAAACGGAUCCCUUUUUUCGAAUACAACCACCCGUUUGCCCUUACUAUCUCUUUAUCGGAGUGGCUAGAGGGUUGAGCAUUGUGCUGAGCCUGGAGCAGUGCGUGGUCGGUCAAUUGGGUGACGAACCGAUUGACGACAUCUUGACAACCUACCUCGGGUGGCGUGCGAUGACAAGCUACUCCUGCGAGGUGGGUGAAGGUGGAGAGGCUGAAUAACUAGGCGAUCUCCAUUGGUACCGAUGGGUGAAACCAGUCCCUAUUUUUCAUGGAUACAAAGAGGUGGGAAGGAAGGAGUAAUUGCGUGUACUGCUACUUCCAUGACGGCGGCCAUGUUCGUUUUUGUACUUAACAAUUUGUAACGAAUGUUGCAGAUUGCAAUACUGUGUUAGCAAUAGGAUUACCACCAUAUUUAAAAAAUCGAAACGGUGAGGCUAUUGGUUCAAAAUUUGGAAUACUUGAGGUGAUUCUUUUAAAAGACCAGCUCCGAAUCAAAUGAAUACACGUAGUAUUGGAGCUAAUCCGUUAAUAAAUCAUAAAUUGUUGCUAGCCGAGUUGGUCAUUGGGCUAAUUGACCUUUAGUGUGCCUUUGGCUAAGGGUAAUAUUUCCCUAGCUUUUACUAAAAGACUGAUGCAUCUUUAAGAAAAGAUAAGGUAUCGGUGGUAUCAUAUAAACGGUGGUAUCACCUGAUAUUUUCCCUCUUGGCAUUACCAGCUUGCUUCCGUUGAAAUCUAACAACAUGAAGCUAUCUUCUUUAUUAAUAGCAAACUAAUUAUUACUAUCUCUAUAAAUAAAUAUAAGACAUUUCCUCUGAAACGUCUUAUAUUUAUGUACAGAGGGAGUACAAAAUAGUUGAAAUUUUAGGUUCUCCAUAAGUCAAACUUGCUUAAGUUUAAUCAACUCUAUGGGAAAAUAUGUUAAGACUUANNNNNNNNNNNNNNNNNNNNNNNNNNNNNNNNNNNNNNNNNNNNNNNNNNNNNNNNNNNNNNNNNNNNNNNNNNNNNNNNNNNNNNNNNNNNNNNNNNNNNNNNNNNNNNNNNNNNNNNNNNNNNNNNNNNNNNNNNNNNNNNNNNNNNNNNNNNNNNNNNNNNNNNNNNNNNNNNNNNNNNNNNNNNNNNNNNNNNNNNNNNNNNNNNNNNNNNNNNNNNNNNNNNNNNNNNNNNNNNNNNNNNNNNNNNNNNNNNNNNNNNNNNNNNNNNNNNNNNNNNNNNNNNNNNNNNNNNNNNNNNNNNNNNNNNNNNNNNNNNNNNNNNNNNNNNNNNNNNNNNNNNNNNNNNNNNNNNNNNNNNNNNNNNNNNNNNNNNNNNNNNNNNNNNNNNNNNNNUAUAUAUAUAUAGACACACACACACCUAAUAAUAAAGGGGCUAUUGCUUCUGGAGGUACGUCAUGAAAAUUGCACCCAGAGUUUUUUAUAAAUUACCCACUAUGUCACCCGUAAGUGUUGAAAACAAUUCGAUUUUAUUUCAAAGACACCAUGGCGUUCGGUUCUUAUAGAGUGAUGACUCCUGAUUUCGUAAGCAUGGAAGUGCCCCAAUGGGUAAGCACUCAAUCUUGCACGCCUGAAACCGGGUUCGAUACCUAGCUCUACCCACCCUUUUUCUCGCCUUUUCUCUCCUCGCCGCACGAGGUCAUGGGCCGGCCCAUGCACGCCGCAUGACGCCCUGUUUCUCCAUUUUGCUUUUCCUAUUCUCAUUUAUUUUUUAUUUUUCCUUCUUUAAAUUAUUUUGGGAAUUCAAAAUUUUCCAAAUUUCAAAAAGUUGUGAGUUUUGAAGAAAAAAAUGACAAAUCAUAAUAUGUUCGUGAACUAAAAUAAUUCUUGGGAAACCGUAAAAUGUUUGUUACUUUAAAAAACUAUUUGCAUAUUAUAAAAAAUCAUUAUUUCCAAAAUUUCUCGCGAAAUUAAAAGGCUCAUGAUUUUUAAAACUGGCCAUGUAUUCAAAUCAUAUUCGGGAAUUUGAAAAAUAAAUGUCCAUGAAAUUUUAAAAAUCUUAAAUGGUUUGAAAAAAUGGUCGGGGAAUACAAUAAUGUUCAUGAUUUUGAAAAAAUUAAUCAUGUAUUCAAAACAUAUUCAUGAAUCUGAAAAACUAUCGAUGAAAUUUUAGAAGAUGUUCACAAAAAUUCUAAAACAUAUCACGAAUUUUGAAAGUUGUUCCCCAAUUAUUUUUAAAAGCAAAUCGAUUCAAAAAAUGUUUGUUGAAUCAAAAAAAUUCAUGAAUUCGAAAAUUGUUCAUGCAUUUCAAGAAAUGUCGUCUCACCAUAAGAAAUGUUCAUAGUAGGCGUUCAUGAAGUUUUUUAUGUGUAGGGUUUGAUUAGUUUGUGGGAAGUCUUUAUAUGUCUAGGCGUUGGUAGUAGUUCGUGCUCGAUGAGAUUUGUUUUCAGAGUUUUAAACAUUUCUUUGCGCGGCACAAUGACAAGUGUGGCGUGCAGUGAGAAGCUCAUAACCUUGGGAUUUACUACGUCGAAUAUAUUGUGAUCAUAUGGACAUCACAACCAUCAUCAGCAAGGAUGGGACGAAAGAUAAGUGGCAACAUGGCGGGCCACCAUGUUAAAAUAGAGGAUGCAACGCAUGGGUAUUCUGUUAGAGUAUUGAACCAUACAUAUUUGGCUAGGCGGUAAUAUUUUUGUUUCCCAUUGCAGCUCAUGGGUACGUCGAUGAAAUUGCCUCCAAAAUUGCAAAAUAUUUCCCUUCGAUAUCUUCUAUAAGUGAUCAAAAACAUUUCAUGCAGGAGAAUCCCCGCUUGAGCCUGCCCACGCAGUAGCAACCUUCUAUACUGCCCUCUACACGCUGGGAGAAGACACAACGCGCCUCUUUGGGCCGGUCCAUGUUCGGUGGCGUGUUAUUCAAUUUCGUUUUUUAUUUUCAUUUUUCUAUUUUAAAUAAUUUGGAACUUCAAAUAAAUUUCUAAAAUUAUAAAAAUGAGAAUUUUAAAAUAAAAUGUUUAAUAAUUCAUAAAUGCUGUGGAUUCAAAAAAUGUUUGCAAUUUUUAGAAAAAUGUUCGGAAAAUCAGAAAAUGUUUAUGGAUUUUGAAAAAAUUGAUGUACUAAAAAUGGUUAACGAAAUUGAAAAAAAAUUCACCAAUUAAAAAUAUUCUAAAAUUUCAAAAACUCUUCUUGACUUACAAAAUACGGAGUAGUUUAUUGAUUCAUAAAAUGUUCAAUGAUUCAAAAGAUGAUCAUGCAUUUUGAAAAAUGUAAAAAAUGUUCGGUAAUUUCAUAAAUUGUUUUGCCAAUUUCCAAAAAAUAUUCAUUGAUUCUAGAAAUGUCUGCCUUUUGAAGAAAAAUGUUUCUAAAGAUGUUCACAAGUUUUCUUUAAAAAAAUUACAAAUAGUAUAGAAUAUUCAUGCAUCGAAAAUAUGUAUAUGUUUAUGAUUUUAGAAAAUGUUUGAAAAUCUGAAAAAAUGUUCAUGGCUAUAAAAAAUAUUCAUGAUUUCAGAUAUGUUUGUGAGUUGAAAAGAAUGUUCAUGACUUUCAAAAUUGUUCACGAUCUCACAAAAAUGAGAGUGGAGUGUAUCGGGCAAAAUGUGAUCAUGGCCACGAUCAUGAAUUUUUUUUCCUUUCGUUGCAAUGCACGCGCCGUGUUCUGCCAGUAUUUAAUAAAGAAUCUAUUGAGACUAAUUUGGCGUUCGAGAUGAUAAUAGUAUAUAUUUCUGUAGUCUUGUCAAACUUAAACAAGAUUGAGUUGAGACAAAUCCAGAACUUCAAUUAUUCUGAAACAAAGGGAGUAAAUAGGUAAGCAAGCACGUGAACGUUACUGAAUAGCUUCGCCUGUGAUUUAUUCUGUUCUACUCCACUAGGGAGGCAGGGGCAGUACUAACUAGCUUACUGAAACUACAGAGCACCGACUGAUCGAUGGAACUAAGUAAGUUGCACUAGUAGUUCUUGAUGCUGCCGUUGACGUCUGCGUUGGCAUUGCCCAUGUCGAUGGCGGCGGGCUUCUCGACGUCCUCUAUGUCCUCCUCCCGGACGAACACCGCCUGGUCCAGCACCGACGCCGUCCCGCCCACGCCUCCGUACAGGUGCGGUGGGGCGGGACGCGCGCCGCCGCCGUGGGUGUCAGUGUAGGCAUCGGCAUCGGCAUCGGCGGGGACGAAGGCGCCCGUGUCCUGGUCGGCCGAAGACGCCGCUGACCCCUCCGUGGCACCUCCGAACAGGUGCGGUGGAGCGGCAGCCGAGCCGCCGCCGUGGGUAUCCACGUGGGCGGGGCCGAAGACGCCCGUGUCCUGGUCGGGCACCCACGCCGCGUCCUCGCCGCCGUCCAGCGCGCCGCCGAUGGUCUCGUCCGGCAGCACCGUGGCGACGUGCUCCUCGCCCUGGAGCACCUCGACGUUCUUGCGGUUGAGCGCCGCCUCCACCUGCGCCCCCGUCAUCGCCGCAGCGGCGGCGCGGACGUCCUUGUACGGCUCCUCCUCCCGCCGCGCGCUGGCCGAGGAGUGGUUCAUGCUGACUCCGUUCCUGAAACACACAGGACGAUGCUGCCAUGAAUGACUGAGAGUUGUACAACAAGCUAGCAUGGUAAACAGAGCUGGUUAGUUACCUGCGGGAGGCGAGAAGAGGCGUCGUCCCGGUCCGGCCGGCCACCCGGCGGCCGGCGGCGGUCAGUGCUCGCGCGGCCAUGGUCGAGAGAGAUCGAUGCGGCGGCGGCUUUCCUCCUCGCGAGCUCGGUACAGAAGAUCGCCAAGCAGAGAGAGAGAGAGAGAGCGUGUGUAGUGUGCAGUGUGUGUGUGUGUGUCUGGGAGGGAGAGCAGAGCACGAGCGGUGCGAGCUUAUCCACGCGGGUGGAGCUGAGACUUGAGGUCGAGUUCUCUUCUUGGAUGGGCGGUGGCUUUAUUAAUGAGUUGCUGCCCCCGAGGCGCAAGCCCGGUGCAGGACGAGCAGUGGUAAGAGGGUGCGGGGAAUGGCGUGUCGACACGCGGAGCGGCGCCAUUGACGAGACAGGGGAGGGAAGGGACGAUGGUCGGUGAUGGAUGCGGUGGAAGGAGACGAGCGGAGACACGCGCGCGCUGCUGCAUGCGACCGCCCUUUCCGUCGGAAACGGACACGCAAUGGCCUCACAAAAUUCCCGCAUAUAAAUAUUCCAGGUGCUUUCCCAGUGAUGUUUUUGACAUACUUGUAACAAAAUUUUGGGGUUAACAGCCGAGCUUUGCUCUACACACGGAAUAAUUUCACGGACUUUUACAGGACGUGCUGACGUGGAAAGGUAUGAUUGGGAAGAAGAGAUGAAUGAAAAUCAGGGGGGAGUUUAGUAGUAAGAUGGAAGGGGCCCGUUGCAGCCCAUUAAAGAUCCGUGUGUAGCAUUUUUGCUUAAUUGUUGGUAAUCUUAGGCCGUGUAAUACGAGUUUUUCGUUUACUAAUAGUUGUGUGUGGUAUUUUUGUAUACUAGUAUAAACAUCCGUGUGUGUACUAAGAUUACCAACAAUUAAGCAAUGGACAAAUAAUUACUAGCGACAUGGGAUCACACUUUUAGUUCCGCGCAUGGACUGUCGUAGGUGUCGCUCAGACAAGCUUUCAGACAAACCUGUAUCGGAAAGCUCUCGACAAAUGCAAGUACACGUAGAUUUAUUUAUUUUGUUAUCGAAAGAGCGCCUAAGCUAGACGCGCCAUGCCGGGAGCUUGACGUGUUUUGUGACCCAAGUUUUCAACGGAUUUCAGCGGCCUCAGCCUCAUUCGUCGACGACAGCAUGCAGAUCUCCCCGAAAGGGAUGUAUAUUUUCUGCCCUUUUUAUCUGGAAUAAUACUUCUUCACCAACUCUUCGGCAAAAAAAAUUUAUAGCAAAAACCUUGGAAAAAAAAUACUCUCUCCGAUCCAUAUUAAUUGUUGCUGCAAUUAAUAUGGAUCAGAGGGAGUAUCAAACCUUUGACAAAAUGGCCAAGCCUCAGCAGCGAGCAUCGCUGAAGAAUGAGAUGCGUCUCGAAGAACCAUGAGAUGAUAGCUACCAAGUGCAGCUAAAAGGCACAGCAGCUGUACCCUGAGAGAGAGGCCAUCUGGGUCCUGGUGUAGAGUUAGAACAAGGGUCUAAAACAGAUUCCUUUAGCAAAUUCUCAAAAAGAAAAAAGAAAAAAUAUAUAUCCUUUAACAAGGCACAUAUUCCAGUGUGACUAGCAAGCACAAAGUGGGAGUAAACAAACAAUCAUGUUCGCGCAAUCAAAGAUGACAAAAAUGUCUAAAGCAAAUACUCUUCAGGUUCUCUUGUGUUCUUCACAAGAAAGAAAACCACACAAGAAUGUAAGUUCUAUUCCCAGGUGUGGAGAUGACAAGCCGGCCAUUUGUCCCCAGGUAUCCAAAACACAAUCUUCAAGGGGAAGGGGUUUGUUAGCUUUUGACAAUCGAAAGAAAUGCACCAAAGAAAUGCAAUUUCUAAUGCAGGUACUCUAUGUCGCGGCACUAUCAAACAUUAGCCACUGUGUUCCUUGUAUUGUAAAUUGUAGUAGAGACAAUCUGAGCAGCAAUCCACCGAAAAAUCAUGUCAUCUACUUGUAAUUUUUCUAUGGCACACCCAACUAUUUCAAUGGGCUGAAAAAUGGACGUGAAAUUUCACAGUUCAGAAGUUUCACACCAAAAGAAAAAAAAAUUAAAACACAAGGAAAAGCAAAAAGAACGAGGAAGCAAGCGGUUCAGAACUUGAACAUCACACUGCCUGAAACCACUUCACUGGAAGGCCCUUUCCGGGUAAACCCCAUCGAUUUUGGAAUGAUGGGGGAAGUCAUGUGGCAUAUCUUCAGCUUUCAGACCAGCGCCUCUCAAGGUCUGGACGACCUCCUUGUGGACCAGAGCGUUUCCUUCCGGCGUCAGAUGCAGUCCAUCACUACGAGAUGAUGAAAACAGUUAUUUAAUUGAUCGAUCAGAACGAAAGCAUGCAGUAAUGGAUGCUUCUUAACAAGCUUCUGUUCAUAUGCACAGGUUGCAAACAGCCACUUGUGAGGUGGUCACGAACGACUAGCCUGAUUCGACAACUUUCUUGGAAAAAGUUAUUGUUGAAGCUUGCCUGGUUUCCAAAGUAUCAAAAGAUGAUUAAUGCACCCAUGCUAUCUUUAAUUCCAUCGUAAAUGCACGAUAUACCAAAGCAGAUGACGUUGUCUAAAAGUUUCAAGUUAUUAGUAUUGUAAAAUAGCCUUAUCUUGCCUUCGUGAGAAAAAAAAUGCUACUGAUCAACACACUGGGAACAGGGGGAAUUAAACCAUAUCAUUCGUUCUAUUAAAAAUGGCAACAGGGGGAAUUAAAAUUUCGACAGGCAUUAAUUACCUUAAGUAAAGUUUCUGCCAACCUUCAGUGGCUUGCAUCUUUGACCAAAGAUCAACACACUGUACAUCCAUUUCUUUGGCAAGUUCUAUGCAUUGACCUGCAUAGACGCCAGCCAUUUCAUUUGUUCUUUCAGGGAGCCUCCUCGCAUCUUCUCCAUACUGUGAUCUUGAGGACAAAAUACAAACAAUCAACAACUAACAAAUUACAUGUGAUGUAUACAGUAAAGCUUGUGGAAAAUGAAACGUGUCAGUCACUGCAGAUAACAUGAAUGACAAAUAACAAAUGAAUUAUAAUAUUCCAUAACUCAAGCAUUCCCACACAAUAAAGAACUCCAGUAUUUAGUAGCUCCAAAAUACUAGACAGAGAUUAAGGCUUGCCAUUGCCAUGGAUCUAUCAUAAUCUUGUUUUCCCACCCGCUUUUGCUUAUCUGAGUGCUUGUUUGACCCUCUUUUUCCUAUUUUAGUACUUGUUCAACAGCACAUUAUAAAAAAAAAGGCAACAAAUGUUAGGAAACCACAAACUGGGCAUGAGUAGAAUUGACAGAAAAGGUAUCGGCUUUCUUGGCUCUCAUUUAUUUCUUUCCAUGCCAGUCAGUCACUAAAGUUUCGAGAGCAAACAUGAACAGUUCAAGAGGAGAAGUGAUGCCAACCGUGCAUAUCUUUCUCUUCCAUCUUCAUCGAUAGGAGGUGGAGUGAUAAGCAAAAUUACCAUGGACUUGGAACAAUCCUGUGUUGUGAUGAAAUGUCAGAUAUACAAAUAAUUUGAAGGACUGAUACCUCAUAUUGCCCCUAAAGAAAUACUAUUGAAAAUAUACGCCGACGUAAAUUUAUCUCAGCAUAUACCUACUUCAACUAGACAUAAGAAAGAUCAAUAAUUUUUAAGCAAUGCAACACAUUUAACUGUAUGACAGAUCAGGAGACCCUGAGGUCGAUGCUGCCGUAUCAACAUUGAUGUUUCUAUUCCUACAGUACUAAUUAUUAGGUAAAGGCAGUUCAAGAAACCAAUGAGUUAAAUGACUGGCCAUCAACUCUGAAAUGGAGGUUCAAUAACUUCUGUAUGACAGAUGACAAGCAAGAUGUCAAUACUGCUUCUUAAUCUUCCUGCGGUAGAAAUCACACUUAAGACUCCAGCAACCUAUGAUCCUAAGCAAGCCAAUCCACUUUUCCACAGAUAUAUACCUUCAGACAGGCAGAGUUACAGCUAGUCUGAAACUGCUUCAGGUCAGAGUUCCGAAAGCAAAUAUAAGCUUUCCCCUUUCGUACAGUUCAAACUAGUUAGGUACAUUAUUAUUUUUCGUUUCAAACACACCUUCAGGUGAUUAACAAUUGUUUUGAGAUUCUGUUUAUACUCCUGAACCGGAACAUGUUGCCGCUGGCUUGUUCGUCCUAGAAGCGCUGCAUCAUUAGCGCCAAAGAAUAUAGUCGUCGCAACGGGUGGCAAGCCAACCUGCAUAGGGAGUAUUGAUUAACUUACCACAGAUAUCAGUGUGAUAAUCCCAUAAUUUAACACCUGAGCAGCUGGAUGCAAGCCGUUCGUACCAGGGGAAAGAUGCGCUGGAUCAGGAACAGAGCCCAUCUUGAGUUGUACCCACCAUAGCCUCUGACAACAAUAUCGGCCUGAUAAAGAAAAAAAAACACUGGAUAUCGACAUGGAUACACCAGGAAACGACAGGGAUUUGAGAAUCAUUGGGUUCUGGUUCGACCUUGCGGGAGUAGGUAUCGGCAAGGGCCGCUCCCCAACCGCCAGGGCGGAAGGACUGCUCGGUGAUGGAGUCGCCGAAGAGCACCAGACGCGGCCGCAGCAUGUCUUGGGAUCCCGCUCGCCCUGCCAAAGCCAAAAGUCAGAGAGCUGUGUGAGAGGGACUGGAGUUGGCGGGAGUGUGCGAGGUGAGGGUGGGAGAGGAAUGCAGCAAACCACCUGAAGCAUCGGCGAGGCAGAUGGGAGGAUGGCCGGCUGACGGGGCCACCGUCGAGGGGCAGGAUCCAGGCAUCGCCAUCGAGGCUAGGCACCUAUUUGCAGUCAGGAGUAUCUAGGGCCCCUAAAACUUUAUCUUUCCCCCCUGAUCUGCAAGAGUUAAAAUGGCAGCUAUGGUUAGAGCAGAGCAGGUACUGUAAUCAGCAGACAGUUUUAAAGUAGUGAGCACACAGACACAAAUUCAUUCGACACAAGAGCGUCCAAAUGCGGGCGUACAGAGAACCGAUGUGCCGGCUGACCAAUUAAAGCAGAUGUGUAUGUAUGUAGAUAUAAACACACAACACAGGUUGCAUAAAAGAACAAAGGAAUCCAAGCAUGCUUGCGAUCCCACCAACCUACAUACUAGACGGACGUUUGAUGCAAGCAAAAGCUGAAAUCAUUUUGGAGUUGCAGGCAGCAGUCCACGAUAAUGAAUCCUGAUUCAUAGCUAGCAGCUAGAAGGAGAAUCUUGGUCAGGUCCAUUACUGAAGGAAGGAAGGAAGGCAUGGGAGAGCAGAGGAAUCGAGCCGCCGCUCCCCUCGCCAGCUCAAUGAAGAAGAUCUGGGGCUCCUACUGCCUGGCACGGGUUGAUCUAGAAGCAUCUAACGUUGACGCCUAGAUUCAUACACGGAGAGCAAACUAGAUCAGGGGACAGGAGGGUGAGGGUGGAUCGGAUCGAACCUGCUCUGAUCAGGUCAUCAGUGAUUCAGGUCGGCCUCGCGGUGCGGAGUGGCGGAGCUCGGAGGAGCACGCGCCGGCUGGCUCGGGGGGUUGGGGGUGGGCGCCGCCGCGUUCGAUUCCACCGGCGGCGGGCCGUCUCGCUCCUGUAGUCCUCCACGGGAUGUGCGCUGAGAUUCAGUCGCUAGCUGUGCCAAUAUAAAGGCAGGCCAACCUAGCCUCUCAUCUCUGCCCUGCAAAGCAGAUCCAACGGCCUAGGUUUUAUAAAAGCCAAAACAGUACAAGAAUAAACUAUAGAGUACUCCCUCCGUUCGCAAAUAUAAAAUGUUUUGGAUAUUUUAAUAUGGACCAUAUAUAGACUGAAAUGGUUGAUCUCGCAAAAAAAAGAUUGAAAUAAGUGAACAAACACACUAAAAUGCGUCUGUAUAUACUCUGCAUCAGAAAAAGUUAGAACAUCUUAUAAUACUGAAUUGAAGAGAGUAUUAUAUAGAAGAAAAAACUAAAGAGAUUGCACACAACAAUUUUUAUUUUUUUGAAAAAAGGCAAAAACUAAGGUGGUCACAAGACAUCAUUUAAGGGCCGGUUCUUUUGAGGCUUACAACAGCUUAUUACCUAAAUAAGCAAAAGCCCCAAAAGACCUCAUUUUAAGGUAGAGCUUAACUUAUUUCCACAGACAUCUUCUUCACAAUGGAAAAGAGCUGGGGGGAGGGUAGUUUCCCACAGCUUAUCACAUAAAACAAAACGGUAUAACGCCUUGCCCGCACUUAGUACUCCUGGCAUGCCAUCGCGUCAGCCCCUCGGCAUCAAAAGAAAACAGUGCCUCGCCACCCCGAGAGAGAGAGAGAGAGAGAGAGAGAGAGAGAGAGAGAGAGAGAGAGAGAGAGAGAGAUGUCAUGAUCUUGCUUUUGCUUCUCUCGCACCCAUCGAUGUGAAGAAACCAAUUCAAGUGCAGACAUGUUUGUUUGCCAUCAAUUAUCAUGUAUCUUAGCUAAUAAUGAGAGGGAUAAGUAAAUCAAAUGUGAGACCAUCAAAAACAUAUAUCUGAAAUGUUUAAUUAUAUACAAGAACAUAGUUAUCGUAGAAAUGUCAUUGAUGGAAGAGCCUCUUGAAAAGUUGAAGUUUUCUAGGCAAUGAUAGGUGUUGAAGAAGAAGUGUGUUCCCUGCUAGUGAUAGAGGCUCCUCAUGGCAUCAACCAACACACAUGUCUCGUAGAUCUUGCUAUGGAGAUUAGGAAUCUCUAUGGUAGGCAUAAAGUGCCAUCAUCAUUUUUAGUGUUUAUUGGGACAUUGUUUGUACUCUUGCAAUUAUCUCUUGUUGUAUCUGAGCCCCGAGAAUGAAAAAUAAUUCCCUUCUCGUAAACUAAGAAAGGUUUAGGUAUAUGUCUAAAAACCAACUGAUGUUUGUCGUUGUAACAUUAUUGAGGCAAAUACUAGCAUACUUUUGAAGAGUAGUCACGAAAUAAGGGUGAGUAUACAUAUCAUGUUUGCUUUUCUAAACUGCUUCAAGAAAUUGUAUGUUAAUUGCUCAUCAUAUUUCUAAUGAAAGUAUGUAUGUAUUAUUUCCUUGUAUUUUGUUUACGUAUAUCUUAGCCAUGUUGUGUUGUUCAUGAUUUCAGCAUGUACAUAUGCUCUAAAUUGUGGCCAAGUGAAAGUAAUCUCAAGAUCAAACCACUAACUACAUAUAGUGUACCUAUCUGAACCAAAUAUACAAGAGAUACAGAAUAAUCUUCUACUAAAAUUCAUGAUUUGCCUUCCAGUCAAUUAAUAGGCGUUAAAAGUCACUCCCAUGCUCAUAAAUGUACUGCCUACCGAUACAAAAUCAAUGCAAAAUGGUACCAUCCCCAACGACCAUGUUGCACCUUGCUAAUAUCAAUAAGGUUGUCCUCAUAUAUAAAGCUAAAUCUCCCCUAUGGCAGCAAGCUUGAAGACCUACUAGUUGGCACAAACUUCUAUUGCUGAUAUUAAAUAUCUCACAAGCGAGGAAAGCAAAAUAAGAAGCAACCCUAGGGGAUGCAUGCCCGAAGAAGGAAAUUAGAUAAUGAUCUUGUGAUGUGUUCGGGAAUGGGAGACUUUGGAAAAGGAAGUGGUACUAGUUCGUGGAGCUACCAAUGUUUAAUACUGUCAGGUGGCUUAGUUGUUAAUUGAGGGAUCCCUUGCCCUCUCGUUUCCGGUCACGCAACUCAGUUGUAGAUGGACACAUCAUGUCCUUUAGACCACAAUACGUGAACCAUUUGUUUAAUUGCUUGGUGCGCAGUCAGACAUGCACCUACAACCCUGAAGGCCAACAUAAACACCUCCUCGUGUACCUUGUGCCCAAGCAACUGCCAUUUGCGCCCCCUUUCAAGUUUCGCGACAAGGUGUGGAUUUGAUUCGUUUUGGGUUGACGUUCACGUUCUACUGCUCUUCUACAUUGAAGAGAAGAGCAGGACACCAUCAUGCUAGCAGACCAGAUGACAGAGCUCAGCAAGAGUCUCCCCGCAAAUCACAUGUCAACCCUGAUGCAAAAGCUAACCAGAGCAGAGUCAGCCGUCAGAUCCCCGAAAAAGGCUGUCAUUCAUUCCGUAAAAAUAGUAAUAGAGAAAUUAAAAUAUGCACCGGCGUUUACAUUUGCUUGGUCGGUUAAUAGGAAGGUAUAAGUUCAAAGAUCCAAAUAUUACUUGUGUAAGGUUGAGUAUAUUGACCGUGUAAGCUUUUCUAAACUGCUCCAAGAAAUUGCUUGUUAAUUGCUCUUCAUAUUUCGGAUGAAAGUAUAUAUAUGUUUGUACUAUUUUGUUAUAAUUGAUUUACUUGUGUCUAGCCAUACUGGGUCAUUCACGAUUUCAGCAUGUACAUAGGCCAUAAGUUGUGGCCAAGUGAAAGCAAUCUCGAGAAUGAAUCACUAACUACAUAUUGUACAUGUCUGAACCAAAUGUACGGGAGAUAUAAUACAUGAUUUUCCUUCCAGUCAAUUAAUACAUGUUAAAAGUCGCUCACAUGCUCAUAAAUGUACUACUUAUCGAUAUGUAUUCGGUAUGCAUGUAAUGGUACUCAUCCCCAACAACUAUGUUGCACCAUGCUAGUAAUAUCAAUAAUGUUGUGUGCAUAUAUAAUGCUGAGUGUCUCCUAUGGCAGCAAGCUUAACGACCUACUAGUCGACACAAACUUCUAGUAUUGUUGUUAUUAAAUAGCUCACAAGCGAGGAAAGCAAAAUAAGAAGCAGUCCUAGGGGAUGCAGACACGCUACUCAGUUGCAGCGGACACAUCAUGUCCUCUAGACCAUAAUACAUGGACCAUAUUUUUUGGGACACUCUCCCUAAGCUUUAUUUAACUCACCACAAUAUUUACAGGUAAAAGUAACAGAUCAUCGGGAUGACCAAACCAAACAUGACGGCCAAACCCGAGUGUUAAAGCAUGCUUAGCGAGAUUGUGAGCCUUGGUAUUCGAGCUCCUAUACUCAUGGACUAUAUUACAAGAUGAAAGCACAGUCGAAUGUUCUUUGAUUUCAUGUACUAUUGCACCAUAUUCCGCAAAAGAGCCCUGCUUAAUUCCGUCCACCACUGUCUUACAGUCCGAGGCCACCUGAAUCUUCUGCACAUAAAGAUCUUCCGCCAACGCUAGAGCCUCUCGAAUUGCCAUAGCUUCAAGUGUUUCUGGACAUGAAAUAUUCCUUACCGUAAUGCAUGAUGCACCUAGAAAAGCUCCUCCGGAAUUUCUGCUGACCACAGCUAACGAACCAUAGUUUCCAUCUCUAGAUAUAGCUGCAUCAGUGUUGAGCUCUACAUGAUCCUCCGGUGGUGCUACCCAUGUUCGUCUCGCCUGCGGGAUUCUGUUCUGACCACUUGAUGGCUUGGCGGGACCAUUUGUUUACUUGCUUGGUGUGUGGCCGAACAUGCACCUGCAAUCCUAAAGGCCAAUAUAAACACCGCCUUGUGUACCUUGUGCCUAAGCAACUGCCAUUUGCGCCUCCUUUCAAGUUUCUUUUGAUUUGUAGUGGGUCACUGGAAUCUGACUGCAUGUUCCAGACUUCCGCCAUGUGUUCAACCAUACCUAACACUUUGGCAUUCGUGCCUUCGUCAAUAAUAUCUUGUAUAGCUCGAUGUGGAAUGCUCUAGCACAAAUUGAGGAGAAGAGCAGGAUGCGGAAGCGCGACAGGCUGUGAAUUUGAUUCGUUUUGUGUUCAGGUUCACGUUCUACUGCUCUUCUACAUUGAGGAGAAGAGCAGCACGCCAUCGGCACUAGCAGACGGGAUGACCAAGCUCAGCAAGAAUCACCUCGCAAAUCACAGAUCAACACUGAUGCAAAAGCCAAUCAGGGCGGAGUCAGCCGUCAGAUCUCCUGGAAAAGCUAGUGUUUCUACCUGGGCAAAUUUUAAAAUGGUCCCUCUUACCUCCUCUUUUUACAUGUGAGGUAAGAAGGUAAGAGUUAAUCAAGCCAUUCAUUAAUGAGAUCAACGGCUAAGAUCUAUUUUAUACUCUUACCUCUCCUGUGAAAAGAGGGGGUAAGAGGGGCCAUGUUAAAACUGCUCGCCUGACAAAACUUACCUGCCCUUUGUCCCCCGCACCCUAAAAGGAAAAACCAAAGGCUAAGAAAGCAAUGAACAUCGGCCGAGAUUGAAAGAGAAAUGAAGCCUCUGGAUGAACCAUGAGGUGCUAAGCUAUCAGUAUCGAGUGAGCUAGAGCACAUCAGGAGCUGUCCACACUGCAGAGGCCAGCCAUGCACCUGGAAUCCUAACUAGUGUAGAGUCUAAAACUAGAUCAAAAGAUGCAAGGAACAUAUUCCAAUAUGCUGCAACAAGCACAGGGUGAAAGCAAACGCGUCAUAAAGAUGGCAAAAAAAGUCCAGAGCAAAAUAAUACGCUUCAGGUUUUCUUUUCUUGUUCAACCAGGCUACCCUGCUAACUUUACCGAAACAAUUCACUAUUCAAACUUCCACAACAAAAAAGAAAGUACGUGAGGAAUGCGAAAACCUCCAGGCGACAAGGGAAGGCAAACAGUUCAAACUUAAAUAUCACAGGCCCAAAAACACUGGAAGGCUUUUUUCGGUGAAUUCAUCAAUUUUAGAAUGAUGGGGGAAGUCAUGCGGCAUUUCUUCAGCUUUCAGACCGGCACGUAGGUCUGGAAGACCGCAAUGUGGACCAGAGCGUUUCCAUCCGGCGCCAGAUGCAGGGCCGACUCAUAGGCCGGGGCAGCGGGGCGCCCGCCCUGGGCCCCCAGGAGGUAGGGGCCCCGACCCAGGUAGUAGAACCCAGUGUGUUGUUGUCUCAAGCCGAAGAAAUCUAGAGAAAAAAAUAUAAAUGGGCCCAAGGUGCAACCGUGCAAGUGUAAAGCCCAUUAAACUGGUGGACAUACGAGCAAUACUCAUGGAGAAGUCAAAUCGGUUUCCACUGCAUCCACAAGUCCCUCGUUCUCCUCCGUAUUCGGUGACUCCUCUCCUCCCAACUUUGCCUAAAUUCACAAUCCAUGAACAACGCCGCCGUUCCGGUGUCUUUCAAAUUCCAAGGGCGUGGCAAGCGAUUAACGGAUGAUCAUGGAUCCUUCCAAUGACGGAGAUCUGCAUCCUCCCUGUAAUUCUCGUCCUUAGUUUAAUGAUUCUAUUUCAAAUAGCUUUGUUCUCCAUCUCUGGCUCUAACUCCUUCAGAUCUGCUGACUUGCAUAGGUCUUUUUAUAAUCUUCUGUUCUUCAUCGAUUCUGAGAAAGCAUUAAGGAGAUUAUGAGAAGGGGAGACGUUAAUUCAAUUCAUGGUGUUGCCUUCUCAUUUGUGCUGACUAUUGUGGCAUUAGUACAAAUUCACAUUAUGCCAUAUGAUAUCCAGGUGCUUUUCUGAUCUGUAUUUAACAUAUUUUAUGCGCCUUAUAUGGUGACAGCUCUUGUCAAAAGCAUUUCUCUAGUAGUAGUGAUGAAAAUAUGAGGAAAAACAUGUAUAGAUGAACAAGUAGAAUUCCCAAAAAAAUCGGUUGACAUUUUUUUACCGGACGAGUAGUUCUUUCAGGAAUCACUGCAACUGGCAAUAUAUAGUAAAUGUUUGAAGUUCUCUUGGUCGAUAAAUAAAUUGUAGAGCUAGUUUCAGAAUUCAAAGAUAAUGGAUCUAUCUAUUCCAUCUACUGAAUACUUACUUUGGUUUUGACAUACAAAAUAUUUUCAGUCCAUGUGUGUCAAGAAAAAAAAACAAGGGCCCCUUGUUGUCUUCCUGCCCCGGGCCCUGUAUAUAUGUGGACCGGCCCUGGUCAGAUGCAGUCCAUCACUACUUGGAGAUGAAAUGAAAGCACUUGUUUUAUUAAGCUAUCAGAACGAAUGCAUGCAUGCGGUAACUGAUAUUUCUCAAGAAACUGUUUUCAAUAUGUACAGGGUGCAAACAACCACUUGUGAAGUGGUCUCGAACGACUAAGCUGAUUUGACAAUUUUUUCUUUCAAGAACCAUAGUUAGAGUUUUCCCUGUUCCCAAGUAUGUGAAAGAUGAUUAACACACCCAUGUUAUCUAUCGUGAAGCAUAGUAAUACAUCAACCUACGAAGCAAGUUUAGUUGUACAAAGAUAUAUCAGGGAGGAUGUUGCAGCCUGAAUUUUUUGAGCUAUUUUUGGUACAAAAAUAUCCUUAUCUUUCUUUGGUGGAAAAAAAUGCAACUGAUUAUACUUUUUUCUGGAGUACACAAAUUGGGUACCAUAUUUUUAUAGAAGGCAGAGAGUAAUUUACAAGAAAUGCCGUAAGCCAAACAAAUCGGACUGCCAGCUAGCAACACACACCCACCCUCAAAUACAUGUUACUCUGUCACAACGGUUUGAAAACACCUAGCUCCAGCCUGUCUCCAAGUUUGUACCUCAUCGAGAAUGAAGUUAACAAAUUGGGGGAUAUUGCAUUGCUGCACCACAUUCCUGAAUACCCUCGCAUUUCUUUGCUUCCACAAGCUCAUUCUCGAUGCACCCGCAAAAAAAAAAAGCUCAUUCUCGAUGAACUUGGUAACAGAGAAAAUUAAAAUAUGCAUAGGUGUAUACAUAUGCUUGAUUGGUUACUAGGAAGGUAUAAGUUCAAAGAUUCAAGUCAAAAUAUUUUAAAAAUCCAGAGAAAAUGUAAAUAAAAAAUCGUAUUUUAAGAAGGUAAAUAAACCUGAGAAAGCGUUACCUUAAGUAACGUUUCUGCCAACCGUCAGUCACUUGCAUUUUGGACCAAAUAUCAACACACUGUACACCCAUUUCUUUGGCUAGUUCUAGGCAUUGACCUGCACUGCAUAGACAGCAGCCAUUUCAUUUGUCCUUUGAGGGAGUCUCCUUGCAUCUUUUCCAUAUAGGAUCUUGAGGAGAAAAUACAAAUAAUGAACAGCCGAAAAAUUACAUGUAAUGCGUUCAGGAAAGCUUGUGGAAAAUGGCAGUUGUAGUUAGAGCAGAGCAGGUAUUGCAACCACCCUACGGUUUCGAAGAGCACACAAAUACAGAUCCAUUCAAUCCAAGAGCACCUGAAUGGGGGCACACAGAGAACCGAUGUGCCGCCAUUAGAGAACCAAUUAGAGCAGACGUUACUGAAAGAAGCAUGAGCGAGCAGAGGAAUCGAGCCGCUGCUCUCCUCGCCAACUCAACCAAUGCGCCAUUGAUACUGUGAAGAAGAUCUGGGGCUCCUGCUGUCUCCCUCUUACUCGCCGAGAUUCAUUCACGCAGAACAAACUAGAUCAGGGGACAGGAGAAUGAGGGGAAAGGGUGGAUCGGAUCGGACCUGCUCUGAUCAGGUCAUCAGUGGUCGGCCUCGCGGUGGCGGAGCUUGGCGAGUAAGAGGGAGACUGGCUCAGGGGGCGUCGAGAGAGAGCCGCCGUGUUUGAUUCGGCCGGCGGCGGGCUGUCUCGCUCCUGCAGUCCUCCAUGGGAUGCGCCGAGAUUCACAGCAACUAGCUCUGCCAAGUCACAAGGUCAACUUCACCUCUCAUCUCAGCCCUGCAAAUCUGAUCCAACGGCCAAGAUCUCACAAAAGCCAAAACUGUACCAGAACAGGUUACAAGUACAAAAGUUUUAUUACAAGGUUACAACUUGCAAACGAUCUUAUAUUAUGGGGCGGUGGGAGUAGAAGAAAAAACUAAAGAGAUUACAGACAACAUUUUGUGAAGGAAAAAGACAAAAAAUAAGGAGACGUCAUUUUAACACACUUUGCAAAGGAGAAGAUAGUAAAAAAAACAGAUUAUAAGAAACAACUAGACGAGGCUGGAGAAGUAAAGAGUGAAGUAGGGCUAGUGUUGAAAUGUUAUGGUAACACUAGAUCAUAAAUGCGCGCGUUGCCGCGCCCGUCCAUAUAAAGGAAAGAACUACCUAGAUAUAGAAAAAAAUGCAUGAAACAAUAGAAAUAUACAAAUUGUUUCAACAGUAAAUAAAAGACAAAGUGUAUGUUUGGGGGUAACAUCCAUCAAACCAGUAAUUCACUAGCAUACGAUUUUUUUGGUGGGACUAAAUGGUUUAUUCAUAUAAAGAAUAUACACAAUUAGACAUGGUAAACAAAUUAAGAACUAUCAUUAUAGCAUUCCCGACUGGACAUGGUAGUAAAUACUGAGAAAAUUAUUUGUUGUGAUUCAUAUAAUUGGUAUCAUAACUAAUAAAUAUUAGUAGAUUACAGGUAAAUUAAGUAUAUCAACCUACACUCUUUCAUCAUCUGUGCUAGUUUCACAACAUUAUAUAAAGACCUAAUUGCCAAUAUCUUCAAGCAAUCAACUGAAAAGUGAUGCCUUGAGUAGCAUGGUUCGCCACCCUAGUCGUCCAUGAUGGAAGCUAGGGAGGUGACAAUCAGUUGGGUACCGCUUAUCAUAGUGAAGCAUGUCCAACCUGUAUUUGGCGGUUAUCUAUUUAGUGAAGCAUGCACAUAUAACCUUUUGCAUUCAUUUAGAAAGAGCAAGAUUUAUUUGAGUAUGUCAGUAGUUCACAUCUCAUUCAGCAGAACAAUUCGCAGCAUAUCGACUUAAUGAUACAUAAACAUGGGGGAAUCUAUUAUUAAAAAUAUUAGUAUAUAAUUCGUGAGGCCCUGUAACAAAUAUCUAUGUGGCCUUGAAUCAAGCACUACAAAAACAAGUUGACAAUAAAGUAGAGAAAUCACAGUUAGCCAAAAGUGAUCCCUCUAAACUUUAUUAAGUGAAAUAGUUGAUAAAUAAAUUAUAAAGAAACUGAAGCAAUAUACUGAAAGAAAGUAGUCAAUACAUAUGAAACACUAUCUAAAGAGUGGAAGGUAUAUAUUGAGAUAUGCAAAAGAAUUAUUAGCUUGUUACAUUUUGAUAUAAAACAAGAACUUAUGGUGAACCUUCACAUCUAGUAAUAUCUUAUUUAUCUGUCCAACAUGGUCAGGGUCGUCGAUACAGCUGAGGUAACAAUCACUGCCUUUUGAAUGACCUGCAUAGGUGAUUUCAUUGUAAAGAUAAAAGCAUAUAAUCAUUCACACAAGCCACAUGCAUGCAAGAAUUGUUUAUAUAUGUCAAUAUGUGUAUAUAUGAUGUAACUAUAGUAAACACAGAUGCACUAAGCAACAAGCCUACCAUAGCAACGACCUAUAGAAUGGCCUUCUUUACCGACACGGUCAGAGGGUGAUCCGCCUAAUCAUGGUUCGUCUUCUUGAAGUUACAGGUCAUGUGCUUCCUACCAAAUCCCAGGAACGACUCGAUGUCCGCAUACAGUCCCCACUUCACACCCGCACAAAAUAGUUCGUGCCAAAACCUAGGUGUCCUGCAGGAUGCUUACCUUGUGGAAGGAGAUGCAACACUCAUGCUUGUGGUUUGCAAUUGAUGAGAUACAGGAUGCGCAUCAUGUGGAGGUGCUAGCGGAGGAGAUCCAUGUUCACGGACAGCGACGAACUUCCGGUUGUCUCGAGGGCGGGGAUGACGAUGGCUCGCGAAGUCAGGAGCAACCCACGACGGUUGGGAGAUGCAGCGAGACGAAGGAUCUGAUUCCAUGAACAGAGGGAGAUGCCACUUGCCGGAAGAGGCGGCGGAGACUCAUAUCUAGGGUUCAUGUAGCGCAGAAGAAGGAUGGAUGGGGGCAAAGGGACGACACGGAAUGGCGACGCUCGAAAGGGGUUUUGAAGCAGGCCGCAGCUAGGGCACGGGAGAGGAAGAGGAGGCAUCAGGGCGAGCGGAACCGAGGCGGCGCCGGCGUCGUCGAUGCCGACGGGAAAGGGAGAUCGUAAUGUUGUUGGGCCAGUUUCGCAUACACAGGCCGCAACGUGAAGGCCCGAUCAACGAGAGAACACCGAGAUCGGCCUGCGGAGCAGCAGCCCUUUCAAGUCGGCCUGCCCGGUUCGUGCAGAGUUGAGACGACCAGGAGAUCUCAGCCGCCUGUGAGCACGAUCAGACGGAUGACAACGUCAAAAUGCUGAGAGGUGGCAUAGCUAGCCCCAUUUUACUGUUUCUCAAUGUGCUAAUAUCGAACAAUCACAUAUUAGCCCAUGUCACUCGUGCACUUAGCCCACAUAAUGAUAUAUUUACACCCGAACUACCAUAAUUACCUCUGAAAUGACAUGUUAAUUACCAAAUUCUUAAUACUAGAACGGAUCUUCGUCAUAAAGAGUAUCAUCGUCACAGGUAGGAGCUGCCAUGAGCUAGGUAAAACUAUCAAUGACAUUGCACCCUUCAAGCUCCCCAUAUGUCCAUUUGUUGCUGCCAUGUUCCAUCAUCCUCCAUGUCUACUUGACUUUGUGGUCCACUAUAACUUUCUUUUUGCUACCGCCAAAGAAAAUGCAAUUUUUUAGUCUACCAAAAAUAAAUAAAGCAUAGUGAAAUGUGCAGAUUGCAACUUACGUUAGCUCCUUUUUCGGUUGGAUUUAGUUGGCUUGCCCAUUUUCCUCGUGCAAGUUGCCGAUCCAAGUUCUCUUCCUCUUUGAAUGUCUUGAUUAAACCUCACUUUUCUUAAGGUGUGAUCACAUAGCAAGUCAUCUGUUUGAUGCACAUUUGACUCAACAAAAAUAGUAAUCACAACACUAAAACCAGUAAUCUCUCUUAACUUAUUGAGCCCAGGAAAACACCAUAAUGCCCUAUAUUCGCCGUUUGUGCCAAAAAUAGUGUCAAAUGUUACAACAUCACCAAAAUGUGAAGGGUCAUUUUAGCACAAACCUAUAAUAUACUUUGUUAUAUAUGCUACGCACAAUCAAAUUGGAAAGCAAUAAUAGGUUUUGCGUAAUUUUAUCAUGAUGAUUGUCAACAUACCUUAUGCCUGACCAAACGCCAAUUCUCUCUCUUCUUGCUCUGCAGAUAAUUUUUGCGUUCACGGCAACCAGCAGCAACUGUAGCUAAGGUUAAGUCUCGUCCUUUAUCUAUCCAUGUCAUGCUAUUGCUUUUUAUCCUCUUGCACCCAUUCAUGAUGUGAAGAAACCAAUUCAAGUGAAGACAUAUCUGUUUGCCAUCAAUUAUCAUGUGUCUUAGCCAAUCAUGAUAGGGACAACUAAAUCAAAUGUGAAGCCAUCAAAAACAUAUAUCUAACAUGUUUAAUUGUAUAUGAUCAUAUAAAGUUAUCCUAGAAAUGUCAAUGAUGGAAAAGCAUCUUGAAAUGUUGAAGAGCGUAGUAGGGAAUGAUAGGUGUUGAGGAAGAAGUGUGUUCCCCGGCUAGCAUAACAUGUGUUGUAGAUCUUGCCAGGGAGAGUAUGAAUCUCUAUGGUAGGUACAAUGUGUCAUCAUCACUUGUAGCGUGUACUGGGACAUUGCCUAUACUCUUGUUCUGUCCGAAUCUUGAGAAUGAAAAUAAUUCCCUUCCCGUAAACUAAGAGAGGUUUAGGUGUAUUAAAUUUACUUGUUUCUUAGCCAUGUUGGGCCAUUCACGAUUUCAACAUUUACAUGGCUAUAAGUUGUGGCCAAGUGUAUGCAAUCUCGAGAACGAAUUACUACCUACAUAUUGUACCUAUCUGAACCAAAUUUACGAGAGAGAUACACAACUAAUUCAUGAUUUUAUUUUCAGUCAAUUAAUACUCAUUAAAAGUCACCCCCAUGCCCAUAAAUGUAGUACUUACCGAUAUGAAAUCAUUUCAAAAUGGUACUCAUCCCCAACGACCAUGUUGCACCAUGUUAAUAUCAAUAAUGUUGUGCACAUAUAUAAUGCUAAAUCUCCCCUAUGGCAGCAAGUUUGAUGACCUACCAGUUGACACAAACUUAUAUUGUUGCUAUUAAAUAGUUCACAAGCAAGGAAAGAAAAAUAAGAAGCGGCCCUAGGGGAUGCAUGCCCGAAGAAGAAAAUUAGAUAACAAUUGUGUGAUGCGUUCGGGAAUGGGAGACUUUGAAAAAUAAAAUGGUACUAGAAUGUGGAGCUACCAGUGUUUGAUACUGUGAGGUUGCUCAAUUGUUAUAAACACCACCUCGCGUACCUUGUGCCUAAGCAACUGCCAUUUGCGCCUCCUUUCAAGUUUCCUUCUAGUAACUUGCAGUGGGUCACUGGAACAUGACCGCGUGUUUCUAGACUUCUACCAUUUGUUCCACCCAUACCUAGACGCACUUUGGCAUAUGUGCCUUCAUCUGUAAUGUAUAGAGUAGCUUGAUGUGGAAUGCUCUAGCAUACAUUGAGGAGAAGAGCAGGAUGCAGAAGCGCGACAGGGUGUGGAUUUGAUUCGCUUUGGAUUCAAGAUGAUGUGGCAUGCCCUAUCGCAAACAUGACUAGUACACAUGUCAUGGUGAGUACGUCGGUGAAGGACAAGGGGUUGCAGGUGACUUCGGCAGUCGUCGACAAAGGGGUGCAAACAAAGGAUAUUAUGGAUGAGGCGGCUACAAUGCAUGUGGAUGAGGCGGAUGUCGGAAAGAAAGUUUAUAGAAACGAGGAUGAACAAAUUAUGAAGGAGAUGACACAUCUUAGCAAAGGAAAAGAUGGAACCUUGCGUAUUCUAUGUGGUCCAGGAUUUAUGCCAAUUAUACAAAAAGAAAGAGUGCAUGUUAAAUGUGAGAGCGUUGCUAGUUUAAAGGAGUCCAUGCGAGUGCAUGCACGCACAAAAGUAGGAAAGAGUAGUUUGUUUCCUGACCAACGUGCAAAAGAAUAUCAUGGAUGUCUUUGGAGAAAUAAUGGGACGUGAAAACCAUGGAGGAAAAAUAUGAAGAGGAGCAGUAUUCAUGUACAUGCAGCAGAUAAGUUUUCAAGUCAACCAACUAUGUACGUUUGGAAAAGGAAAAUAAAAAUAGAAGAUCAGAACGUACACGCCAAGGAGAUCAGCUGCGGUGCAACAAAUCACGCAGCGGAGGUUAACUUAAUUACGUAAUAUGUCCUGCGUGCCUUUUUUUUGGCCGACCAAGUAUGAGUCGGUUUGUAUCCUAGGCUAUAUAUAUUAUUUACUAUUGAGAUUUUUAGAGAUGAGACUAUUUUCUAGAGUUUAGACAACGUCGUGUAUCGACUAUGAAGCGGCCCUCUGGGCGUUCGUCUUGUUUAUCUUUGUGAAAUUUUCUGUUAUUAAGAAGAUUACACUUUGGCGAGAGGAUCCUCGUGAUUGAGGAUUUGCUAGCUAUUGGCUUGAGGUCCGUCGGCGACGACGGAUUACGUGCCGGUUACUUCUACUCCGACAGGAGGUGCCUUGUCAACCGAGUCAUUGCUUGUCAGUUGUUGUUACCACAGCUUCAGGUUGCGUGUAUCGCUCGUGUAAUUGGGAGUUUUCGUCGGUGGAAUUUGCUCGAGGUGGUUGCAUCGUGAAAGAUCGGGCUAAAUUAGCGGCGCGUUCGAGGUCGUGCUCUCAUCACAAGAUAUAGUGCACGGUUCCUCUAGGAGCUUACAAAUCUUGGCUUAGCUAGGCACGCCUACGUCCACAUAGACAAAUCAAUAUUGGUUAAUUAACAUAAUCUUUUAAUUUGCAUCAUGGACCGUGGCACUUAGCUAGGAAUCAAUGGUUUUAUGGGCAACUACAACGUUUCAUCCUUGCGAUAUGCAAAAGGAAAAAAUCGGUUUAUCGAUAUAAUACAUACUGCACAGUAUGUUUGUGUUCCAAAGCAUCAUGGCAAACCACAUUCUUGCUAGCUAGUUUGGUCAGUAACAUGUGUUUCUAGGACAACUGUUGAGUCAACACAAUCGUGUUUACACGUCAAAGCUAUAGAAGUUUGUAUGAAGGCAUGAACCAAGAUGUAUUGUUGAACACGUUGAGUACUUUGAAAAUGACAAGAUGUAUUGUAUAAUGUAAAUAAUCAAUGAAAUCUUAUGUUAUCUAAAAAGAGAUGAAUUGUACAUUCCGAUGACAAGAUGUUUGUGUUCCAAAGCAUCAUGGAAAACCACAUUCUUGCUAGCUAGUUUGGUUAGUACCAUGUGUUUCUAGGACAACUGUUGAGUCAACAUAAUCAUGUUUACACGUCAAAGCUAUAGAAGUUCGUAUGAAGGCACGAACCAAGAUGUAUUGUUGAACACGUUGAGUACUUAUGAAAUGACAAGAUGCAUUGUACAAUGCAAAUUAAUCGAUAAAAUCUUAUGUUGUCUAAAAAGAGAUGAAUUGUAGAUUUUGAUGACUCAUUAACUAAAGUUGAAAUCAACAUUUCAAAGCUUUGCAUACAGUAACAUGAACACACUGCUGGAACUAACUAAAGUUGCAUAUAUUCACUAAACACAUUAUACGAUCCCCACGAAGUAAAGAAAACACUAGUAUAUGAAAUCAUCUUUACAAGCAAUUAAUGUAUGAUAUGAGCUCAAUAUGAUCAAUAUUGUAGUACAUGAUACAACAACUUUCAACCAUACAAAGUGAAGGAAAUAUGCCCUAGAAGCAAUAAUAAAGUUAUUAUUUAUUUCCUCAUAUCAUGACAAAUGUUUAUUAUUCAUGCUAGAAUUGUAUUAACCGGAAACAUAAUACAUGUGUGAAUACAUAGACAAACAUAGUGUCACUAGUAUGCCUCUACUUGACUAGCUCGUUAAUCAAAGAUGGUUAAGUUUCCUAGCCAUGGACAUGAGUUGUCAUUUGAUUAACAAGAUCACAUCAUUAGGAGAAUGAUAUGAUUGACUUGACCCAUUCCGUUAGCUUAGCACUUGAUCGUUUAGUAUGUUGCUAUUGCUUUCUUCAUGACUUAUACAUGUUCCUAUGACUAUGAGAUUAUGCAACUCCCGUUUACCGGAGGAACACUUUGUGUGCUACCAAACGUCACAACGUAACUGGGUGAUUAUAAAGGUGCUCUACAGGUGUCUCCGAAGGUACUUGCUGAGUUGGCAUAUUUCGAGAUUAGGAUUUGUCACUCCGAUUGUCGGAGAGGUAUCUCUGGGCCCUCUCGGUAAUGCACAUCACUAUAAGCCUUGCAAGCAAUGUGACUAAUGAGUUAGUUGCGGGAUGAUGCAUUAUGGAACGAGUAAAGAGACUUGCCGGUAACGAGAUUGAACUAGGUAUUGAGAUACCAACGAUCGAAUCUCGGGCAAGUAACAUACCGAUGACAAAGGGAACAACGUAUGUUGUUAUGCGGUUUGACCGAUAAAGAUCUUCGUAGAAUAUGUAGGAGCCAAUAUGAGCAUCCAGGUUCCGCUAUUGGUUAUUGACCGGAGACGUGUCUCGGUCAUGUCUACAUAGUUCUCGAACCCGUAGGGUCCGCACGCUUAAAGUUCGGUGACGAUCGGUAUUAUGAGUUUUUGUGUUUUGAUGUACCGAAGAUAGUUCGGAGUCCCGGAUAUGAUCACGGACAUGACGAGGAGUCUCGAAAUGGUCGAGACGUAAAGAUCGAUAUAUUGGACGACUAUAUUCGGACACCGGAAGUGUUCCGAGUGGUUUCAAAGAAAACCGGAGUACCGGGGGGUUACCGGAACCCCCCGGGGAGUUAAUUGGGCCUUAUGGGCCUUAGUGGGAGAAGAGGAGAGGCGGCCAGGGCAGCCGCGCGCCCCCUCCCCCUCUAGUCCGAAUUGGACAAGGAGGGGGGAGCGGCGCCCCCCUUUUUCCUUCUCCUCCUCUCUCCCUUCCUUCCCUCUCCUACUCCAACAAGGAAAAGGAGGAGUCCUACUCUCGGUGCGAGUAGGACUGCCCCCUUGGCGCGCCCUCCUCCUGGCCGGCCGCCUCCCCCCUUGCUCCUUUAUAUACGGGGGCAGGGGGCACCCUAGAACACACAAGUUUCUGUUGAUCUAUUCCAGCCGUGAGCGGUGCCCCCCUCCACCAUAUUCCACCUCGGUCAUAUCGUAGCGGUGCUUAGGUGAAGCCCCGCGUCAGUAGCAACAUCAUCACCGUCAUCACGCCGUCGUGCUGACGAAACUCUCCCGUGAAGCUUUGCUGGAUCGGAGUUCGCGGGACGUCAUCGAGCUGAACGUGUGCUGAACUCGGAGGUGCCGUACGUUCGGUACUUGGAUCGGUCGGAUCGUGAAGACGUACGACUACAUCAACCGCGUUGUGCUAACGCUUCCGUUUUCGGUCUACGAGGGUACGUGGACAACACUCUCCCCUCUCGUUGCUAUGCAUCAACAUGAUCUUGCGUGUGCGUAGGAAUUUUUUUGAAAUUACUACGUUCCCCAACAGUGGCAUCCGAGCCUGGUUUUAUGCGUGGAUGUUAUAUGCACGAGUAGAACACAAGUGAGUUGUGGGCGAUACAAGUCAUACUGCUUACCAUCAUGUCAUACUUUGGUUCGGCGGUAUUGUUGGAUGAAGCGGCCCGGACCGACAUUACGCGUACGCUUACGCGAGACUGGUUCUACCGACGUGCUUUGCACACAGGUGGCUGGCGAGUGUCAGUUUCUCCAACUUUAGUUGAACUGAGUGUGGCUACGCCCGGUCCUUGAGAAGGUUAAAACAACACUAACUUGACGAACUAUCGUUGUGGUUUUGAUGCGUAGGUAAGAACGGUUCUUGCUCAGCCCGUAGCAGCCACGUAAAACUUGCAACAACAAAGUAGAGGACGUCUAACUUGUUUUUGCAGGGCAUGUUGUGAUGUGAUAUGGUCAAGGCAUGAUGCUAUAUUUUAUUGUAUGAGAUGAUCAUGUUUUGUAACCGAGUUAUCGGCAAUUGGCAGGAGCCAGAUGGUUGUCGCUUUAUUGUAUGCAAUGCAAUCGCCCUGUAAUUGCUUUACUUUAUCACUAAGCGGCAGCGAUAGUCGUAGAAGCAAUAGUUGGCGAGAUGACAACGAUGCUACGAUGGAGAUCAAGGUGUCGCGCCGGUGACGAUGGUGAUCAUGACGGUGCUUCGGAGAUGGAGAUCACAAGCACAAGAUGAUGAUGGCCAUAUCAUAUCACUUAUAUUGAUUGCAUGUGAUGUUUAUCCUUUAUGCGUCUUAUUUUGCUUUGAUUGACGGUAGCAUUAUAAGAUGAUCUCUCACUAAAUUUCAAGAUAAAAGUGUUCUCUUUGAGUAUGGACCAUUGCCAAAGUUCGUCAUGCCGAGACACCACGUGAUGAUCGGGUGUGAUAAGCUCUAUGUUCAUCUACAACGGGUGCAAGCCAGUUUUGCACACGCAGAAUACUCGGGUUAAACUUGACGAGCCCAGCAUAUGCAGAUAUGGCCUCGGAACACUGAGACCGAAAGGUCGAGCGUGAAUCAUAUAGUAGAUAUGAUCAACAUAGUGAUGUUCACCAUUGAAAACUACUCCAUCUCAUGUGAUGAUCGGACAUGGUUUAGUUGAUUUGGAUCACGUGAUCACUUAGAUGAUUAGAGGGAUGUCUAUCUAAGUGGGAGUUCUUAAGUAAUAUGAUUAAUUGAACUUAAAUUUAUCAUGAACUUAGUACCUGAUAGUAUUUUGCUUGUCUAUGUUGAUUGUAGAUAGAUGGUUCGUGUUGUUGUUCCGUUGAAUUUUAAUGCAUUCCUUGAGAAAGCAAAGUUGAAAGAUGAUGGUAGCAAUUACACGAACUGGGUCCGUAACUUGAGGAUUAUCCUUAUUGCUGCAUAGAAGAAUUACGUCCUGGAAGCACCGCUGGGUGCCAGGCCUGCUGCAGAUGCAACUGACGACGUUAAGAACGUCUGGCAGAGCAAAGCUGAUAACUACUCGAUAGUUCAGUGUGCCAUGCUUUACGGCUUAGAACCGGGGCUUCAACGACGUUUUGAACGUCAUGGAGCACAUGAGAUGUUCCAGGAGUUGAAGUUAAUAUUUCAAGCAAAUGCACGGAUUGAGAGAUAUGAAGUCUCCAAUAAGUUCUAUAGCUGCAAGAUGGAGGAGAAUAGUUCUGUCAGUGAACAUAUACUCAAAAUGUCUGGGUAUAACAAUCACUUGAUAGAACUGGAAGUUAAUCUUCCGGAUGAUACUGUCAUUGACAGAAUUCUUCAAUCACUGCCACCAAGCUACAAGAGCUUCGUGAUGAACUAUAACAUGCAAGGGAUGGAUAAGACAAUUCCCGAGCUCUUCGCAAUGCUAAAGGCUGCGGAGGUACAAAUCAAGAAGGAGCAUCAAGUGUUGAUAGUCAACAAGACCACCAGUUUCAAGAAAAAGGGCAAAGGGAAAAAGAAGGGGAACUUUAAGAAGAACAGCAAACAAGUUGCUGCUCAAGAGAAGAAACCCAAGUCUGGACCUAAGCCUGAGACUGAGUGCUUCUACUGCAAGCAGACUGGACACUGGAAGCGGAACUGCCCCAAGUAUUUGGCGGAUAAGAAGGAUGGCAAGGUGAACAAAGGUAUAUGUGAUAUACAUGUUAUUGAUUUGUACCUCACUAGAGCUCGCAGUAGCACCUGGGUAUUUGAUACUGGUUAUGUUGCUAAUAUUUGCAACUCGAAACAGGGACUACGGAUUAAGCGAAGACUGGCUAAGGACGAGGUGACGAUGCGCGUGGGAAAUGGUUCCAAAGUCGAUGUGAUCGCCGUCGGCACGCUACCUCUACAUCUACCUUCGGGAUUAGUUUUAGACCUAAAUAAUUGUUAUUUGGUGCCAGUGUUGAGCAUGAACAUUAUAUCUGGAUCUUGUUUGAUGCAAGACAGUUAUUCAUUUAAAUCUGAGAAUAAUGGUUGUUCUAUUUAUAUGAGUAAUAUCUUUUAUGGUCAUGCACCCUUGAAGAUUGGUCUAUUUUUGUUGAAUCUCGAUAGUAGUGAUACACAUGUUCAUAAUGUUGAAGCCAAAAGAUGCAGAGUUGAUAAUGAUAGUGCAACUUAUUUGUGGCAUUGCCGUUUGGGUCAUAUUGGUGUAAAGCGCAUGAAGAAACUCCAUACUGAUGGACUUUUGGAAUCACUUGAUUAUGAAUCACUUGGUACUUGCGAACCAUGCCUUAUGGGCAAGAUGACUAAAACACCGUUCUCCGGAACAAUGGAGCGAGCAACAAAUUUGUUGGAGAUCAUACAUACUGAUGUAUGUGGUCCGAUGAAUAUUGAGGCUCGCGGCGGGUAUCGUUAUUUUCUCACCUUCACAGAUGAUUUGAGCAGAUAUGGGUAUAUCUACUUAAUGGAACAUAAGUCUGAAACAUUUGAAAAGUUCAAAGAAUUUCAGAGUGAAGUGGAAAAUCAUCAUAAUAAGAAAAUAAAGUUUCUACGAUCUGAUCGUGGAGGAGAAUAUUUGAGUUACGAGUUUGGUCUACAUUUGAAACAAUGCAGAAUAGUUUCGCAACUCACGCCACCCGGAACACCACAGCGUAAUGAUGUGUCCGAACGUCGUAAUCGUACUUUACUAGAUAUGGUGUGAUCUAUGAUGUCUCUUACUGAUUUACCGCUAUCGUUUUGGGGUUAUACUUUAGAGACGACUGCAUUCACGUUAAAUAGCGCACCAUCGAAAUCUGUUGAGAUGACGCCUUAUGAACUAUGGUUUGGCAAGAAACCAAAGUUGUCGUUUCUUAAAGUUUGGGGUUGCGAUGCUUAUGUGAAAAAGCUUCAACCUGAUAAGCUCGAACCCAAAUCGAAGAAAUGUGUCUUCAUAGGAUACCCAAAGGAAACUGUUGGGUACACCUUCUAUCACAGAUCCGAAGGCAAGACAUUCGUUGCUAAGAAUGGAUCCUUUCUAGAGAAGGAGUUUCUCUCGAAAGAAGUGAGUGGGAGGAAAGUAGAACUUGAUGAGGUAACUGUACCUGCUCCCUUAUUGGAAAGUAGUUCAUCACAGAAACCGGUUCCUGUGAUACCUACACCAAUUAGUGAGGAAGCUAAUGAUAUUGAUCAUGAAACUUCAGAUCAAGUUACUAUUGAACCUCGUAGGUCAACCAGAGUAAGAUCCGCACCAGAGUGGUACGGUAAUCCUAUUCUGGAGGUCAUGUUACUUAACCAAGGCGAACCUACGAACUAUGAAGAAGCGAUGGUGAGCCCAGAUUCCGCAAAAUGGCUUGAGGCCAUGAAAUCUGAGAUGGGAUCCAUGUAUGAGAACAAAGUGUGGACUUUGGUUGACUUGCCCGAUGAUCGGCAAGCCAUUGACAAUAAAUGGAUCUUCAAGAAGAAGACUGACGCUGACGGUAAUGUUACUGUCUGUAAAGCUCGACUUGUUGCGAAAGGUUUUCGACAAGUUCAAGGGAUUGACUACGAUGAGACUUUCUCACCCGUAGCGAUGCUUAAGUCUGUCCGAAUCAGGUUAGCAAUUGCCGCAUUUUAUGAUUAUGAAAUUUGGCAAAUGGAUGUCAAAACUGCAUUCCUGAAUGGAUUUCUGGAAGAAGAGUUGUAUAUGAUGCAACCAGAAGGUUUUGUCGAUCCAAAGGGAGCUAACAAAGUGUGCAAACUCCAGCGAUCCAUUUAUGGACUGGUGCAAGCCUCUCAGAGUUGGAAUAAACGUUUUGAUAGUGUGAUCAAAGCAUAUGGUUUUAUGCAGACUUUUGGAGAAGUCUGUAUUUACAAGAAAGUGAGUGGGAGCUUUGUAGCAUUUCUGAUAUUAUAUGUGGAUGAUGUAGGGGAACGCAGCAGAAAACAAAAAUUUUCCGACCUACGCACCAGCCCAGGACCACUAUGGAGACUGCAUACAUGGUUUGAUCUUUUUCGUUACCGACUCGUAGUGCAGCGGGAAGUAGAGUCGAUGACGAUCGGCGGUGCAGAUCCCCGCAGCUAGGAUUUACAACCUCCCAACCGCGAGGAUGUAUACCCUCAUCUGCUCCUCAGACAGCCCUCCAGGAGGCGGUCGAACAGCCCCCCGGACGGUGUCGCGGACAGCCCUUCGGGAGGACCUUCGAAACUCGAACGGUCACUCGGACAGCCCUUCGGGAGGACCUUCGAAACUCGGACGGUCACACGGACAGCCCUUCGGGAGGCACUCACGAACUAAGACCGAAACUACGAUCUCUCUACAGAGUUGCACACAUACGGUGUCAUCUAUCCGGCAGGGCUUCGCCGUCCAGAACUAGUUCCUGCCGGAACCCAGACAGCCUUACGGCUCUACGAAACUCUUUUCGUGGGAGGGAGAGAAGAAGCCAGAUAAUGCAUGGCAUGUGUAUGAGAGCAAGGGAUGAGUGUGGAGGGCUGCCCCUCCACCUCUAUUUAUAGGAAAUCCCAAGGGGGUAGGGUAGUUUCACAAAAAACCCAAAAUGCACAUGAAUGAAGUCCUUCCACAAGGACCUAGGAGUAAAACCAAGGAACAAGAGGGUCCCCAAGGGGGGAUACCCCAUGUGGCCGGCCACACCCUCAUGAGGGGCCCAAAAAAUGGCUCCUAUCCAUCCAUGUCAUCCCCAAGAUCUUUUGGAGCAAAGCCCCAAAAGGUGGCUUUCCAUAAAGUAACCAUAAAGCUGAUUUUCACUAUUCACGACGACAUUUUUCAGCGUCUGAUCGAACUGAAAAUAUUUAUGUGGGCUAAGAACAUUUCCAGUACCCACUAAAAUGAUUUUCAACGCGUUCCGAAACAAUUCCGGUUUUAGUGAUUUUCAUCUGCGAAACGCAUCUGAUGUGGCUCCGGCAGCUCCAGAACAUUUCCGGUUUUUAUCUCAGAAAAUUCCAAAAAGCUUCCAGAAUGAUUCUGGCAUCCUCCAAGAAUUAUCAGGCAUGUGCCGAAACCAAUUUGACUUAAUGGUGUAUCCCGAAACAACUUUUCGGUAUCAUCGAAACUUAUCCGAUGACCUCUCUCUGCGGUACGAUUCCGCUGUCCGAAACUUUUCGGUGUCCGAAACUUUUUCGGUGAUUUUCUCUCAGACUCCCUGUCUAGUAUUCAGCAGAUAGAUGACCCUUAAGUGUGUGACCCUAUAGGUUCGGUGAAGUAUAGACAUGACCCGGAACCCCUUCCGAUGAUCAACAUCGGAGCCGUGGACACCCAUAUUGACCCCUAUACCCACACGAAUAAAUAUUCGAGUGAACCUCCAGUUGCCGUGUGCUAUUCCUGUUGCUUCGCGAUAUGUUACAAAUACCCGAGGUGAGACAUGUUGGCAUUCCCGUGGAUCAACAACUUGUCCACUAUGCUAGUUACCUCGUUACCGGUAUUGUUCUCUUUUCUCGUUAUCGUGUUCCGGCAUCCCCGUGAUCAAAUCACAAAGUGUCUGGCCAGACGAUGAUGGAUACCGUAACACCGAGAGGGCCCAGAGAUAUCUCUCCAUCGUCGGAGGAGCAAAUCCCAAUCUUGAGCUAUCAAGUUACUUGACACACUUUUCCAUGAACCCGUAAGCCGCCGUAAUAGCCACCCAAUUACGGAUGACGUUUAACAAACCCCAAAGUUCAUGAAGCAAGCAUGAAGAAACUCGAUACUCUCAUGGUCUAAGGAAUCAUGCAAACGUUAACCAGCUCUGUGUUAUGUACCAAUAAACUUGUGACGAAUGAAUCUCAUAGCAUAACAUCAUGCCGGGUCGAUUCAACACAAAUGUUCUCUUAACAUUAUGCCCUCAAGGUUGCUGACAUAGACAUGCCCAUGAUCAGGAAAACAUAACCAUCAUGCAACACUUGAGCUAGUCUUAGAGGCCAGACUAGGAAUACAUUUUACCGUUUAUUAUUCCACACGUGCAUAUGAGUCUUCCUCCGAGCCUCGUGGUUAUUGCAUACUCGAGAACCAUAGCAGUUAUAGCAUGGAACAUAAACAUAGUUAUGAACUCGGAGAUAAAUAAUAUCAUUUAUUAUUGCCUCUAGGGCAUAUCUCCUACAGAUGACAUAUUACUGAUUGGAAAUGAUAAAGAAUUUCUGGAUAGCAUAAAAGGAUACUUGAAUAAGAGUUUUUCAAUGAAAGACCUCGAUGAAGCUGCUUACAUAUUAGGCAUCAAGAUCUAUAGAGAUAGAUCAAGACGCUUGAUAGGACUUUCACAAAGCACAUACCUUGACAAAGUUUUGAAGAAGUUCAAAGUGGAUCAAGCAAAGAAAGGGUUCUUGCCUGUGUUACAAGGUGUGAAGUUGAGUCAGACUCAAUGCCCGACCACUUCAGAAGAUAGAGAGAAAAUGAAAGAUGUUCCCUAUGCUUCAGCCAUAGGCUCUAUCAUGUAUGCAAUGCUGUGUAGCAGACCUGAUGUGUGUCUUGCUAUUAGCCUAGCAGGUAGGUACCAAAGUAAUCUAGGAGUGGAUCACUGGACAGCGGUCAAGAACAUCCUGAAAUACCUGAAAAGGACUAAGGAUAUGUUUCUCGUUUAUGGAGGUGACAAAGAGCUAGUCGUAAAUGGUUACGUCGAUGCAAGCUUUGACACUGAUCUGGACGAUUCUGAAUCGCAAACCGAAUAUGUGUUUACAUUGAACGGUGGAGCUGUCAGUUGGUGCAGUUCUAAACAAAGCGUCAUGGCGGGAUCUACGUGUGAAGCGGAGUACAUAGCUGCUUCGGAAGCAGCAAAUGAAGGAGUCUGGAUGAAGGAGUUCAUAUCCGAUCUAGGUGUCAUACCUAGUGCAUCGGGUCCAAUGAAAAUCUUUUGUGACAAUACUGGUGCAAUUGCCUUGGCAAAGGAAUUCAGAUUUCACAAGAGGACCAAGCACAUCAAGAGACGCUUCAAUUCCAUCUGGGACCAAGUCCGGGUGGGAGACAUAGAGAUUUGCAAGAUACAUACGGAUCUGAAUGUUGCAGACCCGUUGACUAAGCCUCUUCCACGAGCAAAACGUGAUCAGCACCAAAACUCCAUGGGUGUUAGAAUCAUUACUGUGUAAUCUAGAUUAUUGACUCUAGUGCAAGUGAGAGACUGAAGGAAAUAUGCCCUAGAAGCAAUAAUAAAGUUAUUAUUUAUUUCCUCAUAUCAUGACAAAUGUUUAUUAUUCAUGCUAGAAUUGUAUUAACCGGAAACAUAAUACAUGUGUGAAUACAUAGACAAACAUAGUGUCACUAGUAUGCCUCUACUUGACUAGCUCGUUAAUCGAAGAUGGUUAAGUUUCCUAGCCAUGGACAUGAGUUGUCAUUUGAUUAACGAGAUCACAUCAUUAGGAGAAUGAUAUGAUUGACUUGACCCAUUCCGUUAGCUUAGCACUUGAUCAUUUAGUAUGUUGCUAUUGCUUUCUUCAUGACUUAUACAUGUUCCUAUGACUAUGAGAUUAUGCAACUCCCGUUUACCGGAGGAACACUUUGUGUGCUACCAAACGUCACAACGUAACUGGGUGAUUAUAAAGGUGCUCUACAGGUGUCUCCGAAGGUACUUGCUGAGUUGGCAUAUUUCGAGAUUAGGAUUUGUCACUCCGAUUGUCGGAGAGGUAUCUCUGGGCCCUCUCGGUGAUGCACAUCACUAUAAGCCUUGCAAGCAAUGUGACUAAUGAGUUAGUUGCGGGAUGAUGCAUUAUGGAACGAGUAAAGAGACUUGCCGGUAACGAGAUUGAACUAGGUAUUGAGAUACCAACGAUCGAAUCUCGGGCAAGUAACAUACCGAUGACAAAGGGAACAACGUAUGUUGUUAUGCGGUUUGACCGAUAAAGAUCUUCGUAGAAUAUGUAGGAGCCAAUAUGAGCAUCCAGGUUCCGCUAUUGGUUAUUGACCGGAGACGUGUCUCAGUCAUGUCUACAUAGUUCUCGAACCCGUAGGGUCCGCACGCUUAAAGUUCGGUGACGAUCGGUAUUAUGAGUUUUUGUGUUUUGAUGUACCGAAGAUAGUUCGGAGUCCCGGAUAUGAUCACGGACAUGACGAGGAGUCUCGAAAUGGUCGAUACGUAAAGAUCGAUAUAUUGGACGACUAUAUUCGGACACCGGAAGUGUUCCGAGUGGUUUCAAAGAAAACCGGAGUACCGAGGGGUUACCGGAACCCCCCGGGGAGUUAAUUGGGCCUUAUGGGCCUUAGUGGGAGAAGAGGAGAGGCGGCCAGGGCAGCCGCGCGCCCCCUCCCCCUCUAGUCCGAAUUGGACAAGGAGGGGGGGAGCGGCGCCCCCCUUUUUCCUUCUCCUCCUCUCUCCCUUCCUUCCCUCUCCUACUCCAACAAGGAAAAGGAGGAGUCCUACUCCCGGUCCUUGGCGCGCCCUCCUCCUGGCCGGCCACCUCCCCCCUUGCUCCUUUAUAUACGGGGGCAGGGGGCACCCUAGAACACACAAGUUGAUCUGUUGAUCUAUUCCAGCCGUGUGCGGUGCCCCCCUCCACCAUAUUCCACCUCGGUCAUAUCGUAGCGGUGCUUAGGCGAAGCCCUGCGUCGGUAGCAACAUCAUCACCGUCAUCACGCCGUCGUGCUGACGAAACUCUCCCGUGAAGCUCUGCUGGAUCGGAGUUCGCGGGACGUCGUCGAGCUGAACGUGUGCUGAACUCGGAGGUGCCGUACGUUCGGUACUUGGAUCGGUGGAUCGUGAAGACGUACGACUACAUCAACCGCGUUGUGCUAACGCUUCCGCUUUCGGUCUACGAGGGGACAUGGACAACAUUCUCCCCUCUCGUUGUUAUGCAUCACCAUGAUCUUGCGAGUGCGUAGGAUUUUUUUUUAAAAUUACUACGUUCCCCAACACAAAGGUACUAUAUGCACCGGCCUAUUGGCACAAAUAAAAAUAAUCAUAAAACACGGAAGAGGAUCACGAAGAUACACUGAUAACUCACACACGUGAUGUACAAUAAAUAGUAGUAAGUUCUUCCAUGCUUCCAUGAAAUCUACGGAAAUGAAGGGCAAGCCAACCCCUCUCAUUGUUGUACUAUUCGCCUAAAUAGGCAUCAUAAGCCCCAUUCUUCCUUCGCCCAUGGAGAACAUUCGACAAACUUCUGGUAUCGUGUAAAGUUCUUGAAUUAGUAAUACUUAGAAAUACGAGACAUCAGGAAAGUUCUACGUUAUACCACAUGGCCUCACCGAGCUAGUUUUUUUUGAGGCCGCAUGAAAAACCACAAGAAGAAGCACAAGCAGCCCUUUGGCGAGCAAUGUGACCUUAAAACCGAUGUUGUCGCUAUUGUUUGAUUGGCUCCGUCCACUUUACAGAACAUGUUCCAAUUCUCCAUGAUUUAGAGGAAGAAAAAACCUUAGCAUAUGGAAAAUGCAAAAUCCAUAUGACAACACAAUGAAAAGCUAUAGUAGGACUGAAAUUCAUUGGGUGCUUAGGCUCAUGUAGCAUCCAAGUCUUUAUGUGAUAGAUAUAGUCAUAAAAUUUAUCACUAAAUGACUAACUGUGGGUGUAUUUCUCUCCAUUACUGGUUGAAAUGCAUUUUAGUGCUUAUGGUGUGUUCGGAUCAUAGUCUUGUUUCUCAGCACUGAAAUAGUAUCCAACAUUUGCCGGUCAUUCAGCUGCAUUCUCUCUCUUUUGCACAUCGCAGAGCAAUGUUGAUGCACCUCUCAUUCUUUCUGCCGAGUGACGCUUGGGCCUGCUGAUGCAUCAACAAGAUUGAUCCAUCUUCCCUCUUUCCACAAGUUUGUUUUGCAAUUUCAUCACAUAGCUGAGUAAGGCAUCAGAUAAACAAUGCAUUUUUAUUUAUUUAUUUCAUGCGGCCUAAACACGUCACAUGCCCACAUGUGAGCUUUCGACUUUGCCGCGCCGUUUUCUUCUUGCCAUUAUAUCUGUUUUUAGGAUUAUCAUUAUAUUUCUUUAUAAUGACAUCCUGCCACUUAACAGGCCAAUAAAUGAAAAUAAAAUCCACAGUAUAACAGUAACUUAUUAUCUACAAUCUUGUUCUGUUGUCACAAACCAAAAUUUAGUUCAUAGUACAUAACAGAAGAGGUAACAUAAUAACUUGGAAAAACCAAUGUAGCAAGAUCCAACCUACUGGUGAAUGUUUCAGAUAUUUAAGGAGAUAGCAGAGCAGAACUUGCACUCUUUUAAAUUUCUUCUCCCCUAGUUGUUUCUGAUGGGCAUGUAGACUUCAGAACCACUGACCAGUUUGCCUAAGCUUUUGACUACAGCUCCGCAACAUGGUGGAGCUAUUUGGCUGAAAAUCUAAUACAACCACCAGAAUAUUGAUGCCCGCGGUGCAGGUAUUCAGCUGUCAAUCCAUAGUGCAGGUAUUCGGCUGUCAAACCAACCUGAGUGUUUCCACCCCCAGGGAGCUUAGUAAUACAGUAGAUUACAGAUCUUGCUGCAAGCUUUUGAAUACAGCUCCGCAACAUGGUGCAUGUAAUCCAACCUAAGCGUUUCCACCCCUAGAGAGCUUAGUGAUACAGUAGAUUACAGAUCUUUUACAUGUACCGCUGACAACUCACAUCAAUACUAAUUUCAUUUAAAAAAAAUUCAAGCGGAGAACAGAUCGUUUACAUGUACCGCUGACAACUCGCAUCAAUACUAAUUUCAUUUUAAAAAAAUCAAGCCACGAACUAAGCUGUGAUAAUAGACGUUCCUGUUGACUACGACUAUGAAAAAUCUCAAGAUGAUGUGCCAACUCAGUCUCUCCAAGGUGCUCACGGGGGUAGGAUAUCUGCGUCUGUACUGUUUUAAAAAAUGUUUCAGGCCAGGAACUGCACUGUGUUAGAAAAAAGUUUCAGGCCAGGAACUGCACCUGAACCUCCAUCAUCAACGGCAAAAACUGCCAACCAAUCACGGAUCAACACCAAUGCAAAAACUAACCAGGCCAGAGUUAGCAAUUCAAUCUCCCUGGCGUUUUUCCUCUGGCAAUUUUUUUUACCGAAUCUUUGAACAAAAAAGAGUUUACCAACACAAGCAAUAAGCAUUACUCAAAAGAAACCUCUCGAGAACAAGGCCAUCUGGAUCCUAGUCUGGAGUUAGGGAAAGGGUCUGAAUUUGCAAGGCACAUACUCCAAUGCUCCGACAAGCACAAAUUGAAAAGUAAACAUAUGUUUAUGCAAACGAAAGAUGACAAAAAGUCCAAAGCAAAUAUGCUUCAGGUUCUCUUCUGUUCUUCAGAAGAAAUAUAACCACGGUGCCCUACACAAUAGUGUUGAUUUAAUUAUUGAGACAGACCAAAUAGCCUCGAGAGUAAAGCCAGCACAUAUAGGUAGAUUUAGCAACAGGCAUCGCCAUCAGGGUAAAGGUUCGAACCGACCGCAAUCCUGAAACGAACGCGUGGAAGAUCUAGAAUCAGUGCCAUGAAAAAUGGUGCGGAGACGAGGUUUAGCGGGCAGCGAGUUCAGUCUAGAUGGCUGCUCUACCUUAAGGUCUUGAGCCUCAGGGGUUGAGGUCCUUGACGAUGAAGUUCUGGCGGCUGAUGGGGUUCAUGAUGACCGGCGGCCCAGCGACCCGGGGCCAGGCCUGGAACCUCUGCUCCGUCGCCUUCAACCACUCCUUGUCGGACACAGUCCCUGGGAUGGUGC
rnacentral:lncRNA from 1 species